rnacentral:lncRNA from 1 species
CGGGAGGUUUGGUCGGUCGAGGCCAGGUAUGAGCAGCUCCUGGGACUGAUGGAUGGAUGGAUGGAUGAUGUAUGCAUGCAUGUAUGUAUGUAUGGAUACUAUGGUCAUGUUGCGGCCGAAAUCACUGUUUCGACCCUUCUUGGAGAAGUUCAGCACAAAAUGAAUAAUGUUGGAAACUUAUAUGGGGCGAUGAUGAUAAAACUUGGCUGACAUAAACUUGUCGUCGAUUAUCCGAGGAGCUGUGGGCAUCAAAAACCUCACUCUCCCCCUCUUUUGGAACCUUUUCGUUCUCACCGAAAAUUGACGGCUCUGUCUUGGAUGGUCAUUCUGUUGAGUGAUAACCAGAGGAGCUCAACUUCAAUGGUGGGGGUUGAUCUGGUGAAAGAAGACGGCGGAGCUAGGUUGUAUGAUCUAUCAAAGGCGAAUCUGAGCCCCCUCAACUAAUAUUGUGCCUUCUACACAUUUAUUUAUUCUUAUCGCCUUUUUAUGUUUAAAAGUGAUGAAUUGUCAUGGUCGUGGCAUUUGCUAUCUCAUUAGGAGCAGUCACACACAAAUCACCUAUCGUGGUGUUUGGUUUGCCUUCCCCAUGAUUUUAUUGUCCAUGGUGGGAGCCCGUUUGGUGCAUUCGGCCCUUUUCUUUUCUGUUCUUACUUUCCCUUGGAUAGUUUUUGAGAUUACCUUAUUGGCUUCGUGGUCAGUUUGCUUGUUUCAAUUGCUAUUUGACUUUUGAUUAUGGUUUCCUUCCUAUCAUGUUCAUGAAUGGCUGUGAUGAUAUAGCUUCCCUGUGAGAACUUCUAUCUAACACCUGAAUUGAUUCAGUUGGUGCUAAACUAGGAUGGCUUGUGUCACAGCAAGUUAACAGUUUAGCGGCUAAUUAUUACUCCCUCCGUUCACAAAUAUAAGUUGUUCAUGGUCAUUCUACCAGAUGUUCAGUUAUGGUGUCGAGAUGGGGAUAUAUCUGAGCCAUCUACUUAUUCAUGUCCCAGUUUUUGUGUCCACCAGGUCAUAAUUUGCUCCCUGUAUAGUGAUUCUUUCUGCUUUCACUGAUUCUUGUGUGGUUUCUGGUCAUAUUUUGUUCUUUGGCAAUUGGCUUCUCUUUGUUCUUUUUGUGGGAUUGGUACUGUUGCUGUUGAUGGCUAUGAUGAGUAAGGUUCAUUCAGAGGUGUACAAAGAUCAGAUACCAUCGCUUGUUUUUAUGGUAUGUGUUUGGGUUAGGGUUUUGUGUGACUAGGUGGUAACGUGCAAAUCGGGAUGGCUUCCUUUCUUUGAGCAACCAUUUGAAUGUAGUAAUGUCACACAGGUUUAAGGGCAUCUCCAACGAGGAUCACUGAGCUUAUCGGAUAGAGUGGGUUUCCCAUAUGAUAGACGAGCCAACUCUGAGCCUCCCAUUUUUUAAAUAAAUACGGCCUCUCUUUCUACAAUUUGUGGUUAUGUGCUUAUGUAUGUUAUUGAAUAUUAUUGGUUUAAUUAUUCUCAAUAUAGUAAUAAUUUAUAGCAGUAUUGGAUCUCACUGUAGUAUAUGUUAUCAUCUAUGACAGUUGUGAGAUGCGCUCAUAGCAAACCGGAUGUUGAGCUAUUUUACACUUACAUGCGCAGAAUGCUUUGAAUUAGUUAUGCAUCUAUAAGUUCUACUUUGUUGGUGCUAAACUAGGGUGGCUUGUGUCACAGCAACUACGAUGAUGAUAAAACAUGGCAGACAUAAACUUGGCUUCGAAUAUUCUGAGUAAAAAUGAUUGUUUACUCAACAAAAUUUGAACUGAUCUUUUACUUUUUGAGAAUUUGUAUUCUUGCUCACUUGCAUCCAUGUAUACAUAAAAGGUGUAUUGAUAGUUCGGUUAUGAUAUUAGUUCUUUCGGUAAAAUCAUGUUCUGGUCAAUGCGAAGGAUUGUUUUGCAAAUUUAUAUUUUUGCCUAUUUCCUAUCAAUUUGUACUUUUGGUUACUCUUUACUUCUUUAUUGGUUUCAACUUAAGGGUCGUAUAGGGAAAGUUCAGAUGUCAAGACUAUUGUUUCUUUUGUGUCAUGUUCAUGAAUGGCUGUGAUGAUAUAGCUUCCCUGUGAGAGCAUCCCUGUGAGGGCUUCUAUCUAACACCUGAAUUGAUUCAGUUGGUGCUAAACUAGGAUGCCUUGUGUCACAAAGUAACCAGUUUAGCGGCUAAUUAUUACUCCCUCCGUUCACAAAUAUAAGUUGUUCAUUGUCAUUCUACCAGAAGGUCAGUUAUGGUGUCGAGAUGGGGGUAUAUCUGAGCCAUUUACUUAUGAAUGUCCCAGUUUUGUGUCCACCAGGUCAUGAUUUGCUCCGGAUAUAGUGAUUCUUUCUGCUUUCACCGAUUCUUUUGUGAUUUCUGGUCAUCUUUUGUUCUUUGAUAGUUGGCUUCUCUCUGUUAUUCUCUUUGUGGGAUUGGCGCUAAAUGCUGUUGAUGGCGAUGAUGAGUAAGGCUCAUUCAGAGGUGUGCUGAGAUCAGAUAUCAUCGCUUGUUUUUAUGGUAUGGGUUAGGGCUAGGGUUUUGUGUGACUAUGUGGAAGUGUGCAAAUUGGGACGGCUUGCUUUCUGUGAGCAACCAAUUGUAUGCUGAAACGUCACAAGUGUUUCAGUGCAUCUCCAAACGUGGAUCACUAAACUUCUCAGUUACCGUGUGGGUUGCCGAUAUGAUAGACAAGCCAACUGAGCCCCCAUUUUUUAAUAAAUACGACCUCUCUUUCUACAAUAUGUGGUUAUGUGCUUUAUGUAUAUUUUUGAAUAUUAUUGGUUUGAUUCUUCUCAAUAUGUUAAUAAUUUAUAGCAGUAUUGGGAUCUCACUGUAGUACUCCCUCCGUCCCAAAAUUCUUGUCUUAGGUUUGUCUAAAAAUGAAUGUAUCCAAAUACUAAAACAUGACUAGACACAUUCAUAUAUAGACAAAUGUAAGACAAGAAUUUUGGGACGGAGGGAGUAUAUGUUAUCAUCUACGACACUUGCGAGAUACUCUCAUAGCGAACUGGAUGUUGAGUUACACUUACAUGCUCAGAAUGCUUUGAAUUAGUGAUGCAUCAAUAGAUUCUGCUUUGUUUGAAUAAAAAACAAUCCUGUGUGCUGAGGGCCCCGGAAGCAAGCAGAGGGUUUUGCAUCCCUUGUUCAAACUAUGCUAUUAGUUGCAAUUGUAUGUAUGUUCUUACUUGCAUGUUCUAUUUCUUUGCUCAGCAUUCCCAUUUAGUAGUUCCUGCAUUUUAUUUUGCGCCUGGUUUUCUUCCUUUCAUACAUUUGUUGUGUUAUUGUAUAAAUUGUGCUAUAUUGCUCUUCUUCAUUCAUGCAUUUGCUGCACUAUGGCACCUCAAGCAUCAGCAAUAAGAAACUGUACUACAUUUGGUCUUCGCUGUCAUCAUACUGUAUACAUCAUUUAUAGCAGUGAUGGUAUCUCACAGUAAUAUUUGUUGUCAUCGACGAUACUUAGAGAUAUGCUCAUAUAGUACUGGAUGUUGAGCUAUUUCUACUCUUCCUGCGCUUGCUGAUGCAUCAAAUAGGCUGUACUUUGUUUAAAUAAAAAAAGAUCAUGUGUGCCGAGGGCCCUUGGAGCUAUUAAGCAUUUUCUUGGGGCUACUAGUAAGUUGAUCCAUCCACACCAAAACAUGAUGACUUAGCCAACAGAUUCUGAAAGUAAAUGAAAUAUAAUUAUGGAGGGGAUGGUGCCUUGAAGUCAAGUUCAUGUGCAUCUAUAGCGUACCAACACUGAUGAGAGAAUUACUUGUUUGGUCCUUUCUUAAAGUUUGCUUUCCUGUUUGGCCUAAAAAAAAUUCUUCUCUAUUUGACCCCAAAUGUAAAAUUUGUUCCCUAUGUGACACUUCUGUCUAGUUUGGGCACAAACAGUGUUGAAUACAACAUGAAAAGACCAUUCUACCCCUGAUGUAAUGCAAGGUUGAAAAAAAUAAUCUUUCAUUUGUUCGACUAAACCGGUUUAUUAGAGGCGAAAGAAAGAGAAUAGCGACAAUGCUUGAGGAUUUGUGAGGAAAAGUAUAAGGGGUGCUGCAACUUUUGUGCUUGCAUGCAUGCAUGUAUCUCUAGUGCUAAUUGCUUUGGUGAAUAGCAUUCAUGGUUUAUUUUUUGUUCCUUUUUUUCCGUCUCACCUUCCAUCACCAUCCCUUCACAUUGGUUUUUUCACCUUCUAAUAAAAACUUUCAUAACCUUUCCAAAAUUUCGUAACUAGCCAUUUUACAAAUGGCAUGAAAGAAUAAUAUGUUAUCAAACAAUAAAAUCCAAUUAUGUGGUAAUCAAUUUUGAAUCCUAAAAGCAUCUCUAGCAGACCUUGUAUAAAGCCAACCCGUAAAAGUGGUUUAUAGUACGCGAAAAAGAGAUAUUUGUAGAAGAUGCUUUUUUAUAAGUCGACAAUGCGAGGUUUGCUCGGUCGGCACCAAAUCGACCCUGCAAGCUGAAGUGCUCGUAAAACAAAUGUGCAAUAUAAGUAAAACGUCAAUAUUACAAAUACAAUAAUCAUUCAAAAUACAAUAAUUAUUCAAAUCACCGUAGCAAACUAAAUAAUUUAAUACAAAACUAGUAUACAAAUCACACAUGAAUGAAAUGAAAAUGAAUGAAAAAAUAUAAUGUGUUACUGCCUAGCCCUUUGUCAAUGAUGCUUAAUUACAUCCUUCUCAAGUUAAUAGUUGUGUUUCAAUCCUUCUCAAGUUGACAGUUGUGUUUCUAUUUUCAAUAAGUCUGAAGAAAAGCUCUAAUUUGGUUAGGGUCUCUAGCUGGUUUGACACGGCUGCCCACACUGUUAUAGAAUAAUUUCAUCCUUUCUCAUCUUUGAGAAUCAUAUGGUGAAAAAUAACAUUGCAUGUCAUGGUGUUUUUCAAGGAUCACUUGUCUCAAAACCGAGCAAGACCACGAACAAUGGCAAAACUAGAUUGCAAAAUCCCAAAUGCUCUUUCAAUGUUUUUUCGGGCUGCCCCUUGUGCCUCGCGAAUUCAGACUCUUUCCUACUUUGGGGGUCUUUGAUGCUCUUCACAAAUAUGCAUGGGUAUAUAAUCUAUAAGAUAGUACCCUUUUGUGUAUUCAUGUUCAUUGAUACUGUAGUUGCAAGUUGAAGCAUCACCUAGCAAGCAAAUGAAACUGUUGCAACACAUUCACAUUGAUAUCAUUUACAGUAUCCGGCAUAUAAAAAAGCAAUGUCAAAUCCAUAAAUUAUGUUAAGCUAUGACCCAUAGUACAAUUGUUGCAUCACGAGACUUGUCGCAAUACAUUCCCUGUCAUGCUUUUGAGUAACUUUUUCAAGUUCAAUGUAUACAAUCUAUGCUUACUAGUAUGUCAGGCCAACCUCUUCUUUUAUUAAAUGCCAUUAAAUUUUUUGUGUCUUCCUCGUUCGGCGUCCGAAGAUAUUCAGGACCAAAGACACGAACAAUCACUUUGGCAAACCUAUGCACAGACUUAAUUGUACUAUCUUUCCCAAUGCGAAGGUACUCAUCGGUAUAUUUAGCCGGAACGCCGUAUGAAAUUACCCGCAUAGCUGCCGAGAUUUUUUGAUAUGCACUAAAUCCCUUCAAGCCCACGACAGUUCUUCUUUGAGUAAAAUAUCGACAAUUGGCUUCACGAGCUUGCACAAUUUUUACAAAAAGGGAUCUGCGCAUACGGUACCUUCUCCGGAAGAGGUGCAACGGGUAUGUUGGAUUGGCGGCGAAGUAGUCUUGCAUCAGCAUCUCGUUCCCGAGAUGGCGAUUUCGAGGAAUGCAAAGACGACCGAUGAUCAAUCCUCGGCGCCUCUUUCGGUUCUUGUCUUCAUGCUCCUUCACAUCAAGGAACAUCACCAAACUCUGUUGGCGAAAUGUGAGAAGUAUCGUCUCAACAUCCGAGUCAUCUGAAUCGGGUUAAUCCUCGAGCAGAAACUUCUUGCACAGGCUCAACUCCAUCUCCGGCGGUGGCUCUCCGGCCGCGGUGGAUUGGGGGAUCUGGGGGAGCCGGUGCAGCGACUCGGCAGAAGAGGGCAGGGGCGCCCCAUAGGCGCGAUUCACCCCGGAGAUUUGGCGGAAUCGGUGGCGGCAGACUGGUGGAACCAAUGGCGGGGGUGGCGGCGGAAUGGGGUGGGGAAAGGGUGCGGGCUGCAAUGUCCGUCUUGCCAAUCGCUUCCCUGGGAUACGGGGCACCGUAUAGGCGAGCCGGAAACCUGUCUUUUCGCGGGUCCGGGAGGGGAUUUUGCCGCGCCCCUCAAAAAAAUUUACGGGUCCGAUGCGUUUGCGGGGUCUGACUGGACAACAUUUUCCGCGCAGACCCGCAUUUUGAGUGUUAUUUUGCGGGUCGGGGCAUUAUACGGGGUCUGCUAGAGAUGCUCUAACUUUCCUAACACAUGGAUCCUUCAUGACAAUCAAAUCUCUUUUUUAAAUGACAAUCGAUAUGAAUUCGUUCGGUUUUUUCAUCUCGCCUCCCACCACCACCCCUUCACAUUGGUUUUUUCACCUUUCAAUAAAAACUUUUCUACUCUUUUCAAUUUUUCCUAACCAAACAUGUUACAAAUGACAGGAACCAUACAUUACCAGACAAUGAAAUCCAAUUAUCUAGCAAUCUAUUUUGAAUCCUAACUUUCCUAACACAUGGAUCAUUUCUAACAAUCAAAUAUCCAUUAAUAAAUGACAAUAAUUAUGUAUUCGUCGUUGAUACCCAGCCCCUCUUCCAACGAAGUCUUCCCUGUCUACAGUUUCUCAGCUUUUUCAUCAGAGACCGCGAGUGACGACGAGUCUCUGCAGAUGAUGAGCACACUCAUGCCUUAGAAGGAUGCGUACGAGCUGUUCGUCGGAGGGGAGUGCAUGUUUGUGAUUGAGGAUACUGGCAAGCCGGUGGCUAAAAGCAGAGGGUGCACCAUGCGUUGUGGCUGAUGUGUGCGUGUGUGUUGUUUCCUGCUUGUGCGUGUGUGGUGUGGAUAGGUGCGUGUGUGUUGUGUGCUGCUCUCCUUCAGCAUGUAUGCAAUGAUCUGUUCCGGCCAACCGUGAAUGGUAUUUGUGUUUUUGGCUUGGUUAUACAUGCAUCUAAGUUUUGGGAGUUUAUACGAUCUAUAGAUGACCUAAUAUGUUGUGAUUUUUUUUGUAAGAGUGUUGUGAUUUCUAAAUAAUGCAUUUUUGGGAGUUCCGCGUUCUGAUAUGCAUAUCAAUUGUAAGUCAUGUGAAGCUGCCCAAAGGAAAUACUUUUGUGUUGCUUCUCAUGUUUCUAUUUUUCUACAAAUUGUUUUGGGUCUUAUCUCUACUCCUAAAGGGUGAGUCUUGAUAGUGAUGGUAGGUUCGUACAUCGUUGGUUUGUCGGUCUCCAUCCUCCCCUCCCAUGGUUCUUUACCCAUCGAUGCUCCCUUACACGUCACUUAUUUCCUUCCAAUCCACUUAAAAAAGUUAUUUCCCUCCAGGUAUACCGCUUUAUUUUCAUGAUUGCUUCCCUUGUUAUUUCCUUUCAGUUAUACUGUUUUAUUUCCAAGAUUGCUUCCGUUCCAGAUUCUUUUCCCACGAUAAACACACCUUCCCAAUUUCCCCACAAUUUAUGCGCCCAUUUCCUCUCACCAUUCUCUCCUCACAAACCCUAGAUCUACGGCUCCGGUGCCGCCAACCACAUGCAUGUCGUCGCUGCUGUCGCUUAGUUCGGCUACAACCCAGAGAAGGUCGUGGAUGCGGUGAUGAAGUCCCACACAUGCAUGGGAUGAGAGGAGGAGGAUACGGAGGUGCUGGAGAGCUUGAGCAUCGUGAACAUGUUGUAGGUUCGUGAUGGUAGGUUUCCUCUCCCUACCACCGCCUCGUGUUAGAGUCCGCGGAGAGUAAGUUGGGGCUGUGGCUUCGCCACUGAAGUUCUCCUCCAUGGUGUCAUCGAUUAGAUCCAGCUGACCCAGGUCUGUGUCGUUCCUCCUCCCUUGGCGCCAUUCCCAAGGCGAUUAUCGAGAAGAACCAUGUUUUUCUACGAGUGACAGCUCAGUUCAUGGUCCAGGCUCUAGGAUGUGAACUAUCACACAUACUAAGUCUAUCACUGAUCUCUCGUUUGUGCCAUAUUUGUGCUUAACCAAGCAUCAUUUGUUAUUUCAAUUCAUACUGCAACUACCUCAACACCAUAUAAGAAAAAACAUAUACAGAAUACUCAACAAUAGCUAGCAGAACUAGCCUGCAGGAAGGCUGCCAUUAAGAGACUCGCUACUCUUUUAGAAACUAUAGGUAUGGAAAAGCUUUUUAGGAGCUCGUUCUAUAGGUUAUAGCCUCUUAUAUCUGAGAAAGACAUUUUUGGUUUUUGGGUGUUGACUUGCUUACUUUGUUGUCUAAUGUGUUGCUUUCAUUUGAUGUGAUAUACUAGCUUAUCUGGUAAGUGAUGACAAGCGAGUAGGUGUUAUAAUAGUUUAUCUAUUACUUUGUUACUUAAAAGGACACAGCAUGUGAAAAUAGAGUGACACAAUGUGGAUCACUGCAUCGUGGCAAGCGAAGGUUUAAAAAGAUUUACAAAACAGAUCCAAGGGACAAAAUAUAUUAUGAUCGUGCUAUGUGUAUUAAAGACUUAUAGAAAUGCAUAAGAAAUAUGUUGCUAUAUAUUAUGAUCCUUCUAGACGGAGUGGAGGAAGGUGGUGUUGGUGCAUCCUCGGUCCGAGUGGAUCGAGAUAUGGAGCAGCUCAUGCAACUGAGGUACUUUGACCUUGGAAGGUCUGGUAGCACCGACGACGAGUCCCAUCUCACCGCGGUUGUGCCCACGGGUUAUCCGAGAGGUCGGUUUCACCGCAUGAACAUCUACUNNNNNNNNNNNNNNNNNNNNNNNNNNNNNNNNNNNNNNNNNNNNNNNNNNNNNNNNNNNNNNNNNNNNNNNNNNNNNNNNNNNNNNNNNNNNNNNNNNNNNNNNNNNNNNNNNNNNNNNNNNNNNNNNNNNNNNNNNNNNNNNNUACACGACGUCCUAAGUACGUCUCCUUCCACGAUGACUAAACUUACAGUGGUAAUGUAGUCGAUUCAAGGGACAAUCCACGUACUAGCCUACGACACAUCUUGUUCAUCAGACAGUGUCCACACUAGCCUAUCAUCUUAGAUCAAACACUAUCAAGAUGGCGAUUAGGCUAGAGAACUUAUUUCGCCGCCACUGACGCUGCAACAUCGCCGCUAGGAAACAAUGGCCAAUAAGUGUACGAAAAUGGAUUACGCAUUGGACGGAGAGCUGAGUUCCCUACUGUGUGCCAGUGCGAGCAUGGCGACCAGUAGCGGAGGAGAACGGUGCGCUUGUGUGGAGAAAAUUGUUAAUGGUCAUUAUGAAUAAAUCUUUAACAUGGAAGAUAUGUUAGCUAUGCAAGUUUCCACGUAUUGGCUUUGAUUAGCCGUUGUGUAUCGGCUAUCAUCUUGAGAAAUAUAACGACGAAAGAAAGUUGUUUGAUUAAUGGUUUAUAACAUAUAUUUUAUUGUCCCAUGACAAUGGACGGGUAUUUAGCUAGUAUUCACUAGUGUAUAUACUUUGUUUAUUCUUAAAUAUAAGUCUUUUNNNNNNNNNNNNNNNNNNNNNNNNNNNNNNNNNNNNNNNNNNNNNNNNNNNNNNNNNNNNNNNNNNNNNNNNNNNNNNNNNNNNNNNNNNNNNNNNNNNNNNNNNNNNNNNNNNNNNNNNNNNNNNNNNNNNNNNNNNNNNNUAAAUAUAAGUCUUUUAAAAGAUUUUACUACGGACUACGUACGGAUGUAUAUGAACAUAUUUUAAAGUGUAGGUUUAUUUAUUUUAUUUCGUCUUUUCACGUUUGGACUUAUAACACCGUUAGUGGUCAAAGUAGACGGAAGUGUCAAAUAGGGAACAAAUUUACAUUAUGUGUCAAAUAAGGAAGAAAAAUACAUUUUGGAGCCAAAUAGAAAAUCGAAUUUUAAGAAAGGACCAANNNNNNNNNNNNNNNNNNNNNNNNNNNNNNNNNNNNNNNNNNNNNNNNNNNNNNNNNNNNNNNNNNNNNNNNNNNNNNNNNNNNNNNNNNNNNNNNNNNNNNNNNNNNNNNNNNNNNNNNNNNNNNNNNNNNNNNNNNNNNNNUUAAGAAAGGACCAAAUAUGAAAUUCUUUCGAAAAUGAUCACACACCGGCCAAUAUAUGUCAAAGGGCACAACCUUCGAGUAGGUAACCUUACCGCAAUACACGAGACUCUUCAUGACCCCUGUCUUAAGAUCGACAGCGUAGAGGUUCUUGCACUUGUCCUUGACGAGCAACGUGCCAUUCUUCUCCCCCAGAAAGAUCUUCUGCUCGAAUCUGCUUGGGUGGUUUUAGCUCAACGACUCGCUUGCAGAACCAUCUACGACCACUCUCACUCCCCUCACUAACUUGUGACAUGCAUAUUUUUACAUGACGGCCUGGAUUUUGCAGGUAAAGCAACGAAAGUGUCUCAUCGGCAGAAACAAUAAGUUGUGGUUCUUGAUAGAUUCCACAUAAAAUGUCGUGGGUCGGGUUCACAAUCUUGGUCAGGGAAACAUGGCAAAUCUCAGCAUCUACAACAAUAAUAUGCAAGAGAUGGUGGUAGAUUGUAUGGUACCCAACAAGCCAGUGUGCCGUGCCUCCAGGCACAGUGGAAAAGGUCGGCCGUGUCCUCCAGGCGCGCGAUCAAGGAUCUCGCAGACCAUGUCGUCCUCCGGGAGUGAUGUCGCCGUCGUCUCUUCAGGCACCAUGCAUGUCUCGCCUACGUGAGCUACAGCGCUGCGCCGCGCGUGCGGUCGGAGGGGGAGACUCGGGAUAGAUUUUGUGUACGUACGUGUCCAGCUAGGUUGACAUGCCUUGCCGUUUUGGACUCUUGGUCAAACCCAUCAUGUCCGAAUGUGUCACGAGCUCAUGAUUUUUGAAAGGACAGAAAGGCCUUUUCCCCACUUCGGCCCGUGUCGGCUGUUUUUUCCUUUUCUUUUGAGUUCGGCUGGUUUAUGUAGCAUAUAUACUCUGAAUCAUUCAUGCAAGAAUCAUGUCAUGGCACACACGGCAUACUUAUGGUACCACGUGCAAGUACAUUUACCAGUCAUGGAUAUAGAGUAGUUUAGCCUUUUGUCUAAUACUAGCAAAAAUGCCCGUGGCAAACUUCACAUCAAAAGACAUCGGCAAUGAACCAGCAACAGUGCAACAAAUGACCUGAUGAGUCAACGAAGAUGUGGAUGGAGGUGUGGGCAAGGAAGAGGGAACCAUACAAACUGAAACGCACUGGGGAGGCGAUGAAUCACAUGCCGCACAAAGUGGCGUGGGUGAGGUCGGCUUGAGGGCUUUGACGUUGACGGAUGCGUGGGCCAGCGGAGUGAACAAACUCCCCCUUCUUGUACUUCAUGGCAUGCUCUAAUCCAUUGUGGUGUCUUCCAUCAUACAAGUGACCGAGCUCAUAGCCAUCAAUGCCCUAAUCGAAGCCGUGAUCAUCGAUGACUGCCGCCGCCGCUGCGGUUCUAACCUUUGCGAUGUUCUUGAUGGACGCGAGUAUUUUUUUUCUUCUUAAAUUUAAGUUCUCACCAAUCCAACUCCAUAUAGCUUGGAGUAUUUACAGCCGGACCCCUCAAUCCGCCUCAAACGUCCGGACUGCCCGUCCGGUUACUGAUCGAUCACAAAAAAUUAACUUAAUCGGACCUCUCAUACUCAUCUCAAACGUCCAAACUGACCAUCAUUCCUCGUAUCCAUCUUAAAUAUAAGGACGCGCGGACGCGCGCGGGCACGACUGGUUGCUCGACGCCGAGCAACAACUUUUGGUGCCGUCCGACCACUCGCUUAUUCAAAGUUCUGUUACACAUUGGCUUAUCCAUUAUGUCACUAGACACUACCCGACCUUGCAUACCAUACCAUUGACGUGGAUGCCGGAACCUGCCGUGACGUCCUGACUAAGAUUGAUAAACUUAUAUCAAAUAGAUCGAAGCUCCACAUUGUCAAGCUCACAAAAUGAUGAACCAAUGAUGAAUCACUACUCACUGUCUAUACUAUUGAUGUUGAUGGGAACCUCUCGUUGCUUUAUGUGCAAAGGCAAGGCUCCCAAUUGAAGAGAUGGACGCGACAAGAGGAUUGUGGUCCCACAAGGUGGCUCCCCACUCAAGUUAUUGGGCUAGAGAAGGGUGGCAUCUUGAUCAUAAGGGACAGCCACGGGAAUGUGUACACUGUAGAUCUUGACACAGGGAUGAUGAAAAACUUUGCGUACAUUGACAAGAUUAACCAAAGACACCAAAUAAACACCUAUAUACUUUCUAGACAACAUAAUGUUUGGGGUUCAAUUUUAGUAAGGACAACUCCAAUACGGAUCACCAAAUGAACGACACAAAAUAUCGGUGGUCAUAUCUAUUCAUAGCCGGUGGGGCGGAGGUCAUCCAACCAGAGACAUCAAAUAAACAAGAACACCAAUUUUUCAUUCAUUUUGCGGACUAAUUUUACAUAGCAAAAAACCCUAUAUAACUAAAAAGGAAAUUAAAAGUCCUACUCCACUCCUCCCCGUCAAAAAUGAGGUCAACAUGCCCCAUACCAACAGUAUGUACCUCGAUGACAUGGAGGUUCCAACGCUUGCUAUAGAUUUUUUUUUAGAAAAGGAAGAUGACCCCGGUCUUUGCAUCUAGAAGAUGCAUGCGGUCAUUUUAUUGAUUAUUCUCGCGGAACAUACAAAGUAGAACAACAAUAUGUUUGAAUCCGCCAUCCUGACAACAUCUGUCGCUACCCUAUCCAUAUGAUGAAGGGGUGCAAGCCGGGCUAUAUACCCAGACCUCUCACCUAAGCGUAACCACUAGUGGGGACGGGGCCUUUAGCCCCGGCCUGUAAGGGGCUUUAGUCCCGGUUCACCAACCGGGACUAAAGGGGCGGGACUAAAGGCCUAACCUUUUCGUCCCGGCCCUGUUACACGCCGGGACUAAAGGUGCUCCACGUGGGCGCCUCGUAGCGCCCCAGGGGCAGGCCCUUUAGUCCCGGUUCGUUACACGGACCGGGACUAAAGAUUUUCAGAUUUUGCUUAUUUUUGGGUUUUUUUGAAUGAAAUUAUUUUUGGGUUUUAGGGUUUUAGGAUUUAGGUGUUCGGAAGAUUAACGUGAUGCCUCGUUUGGUGUUCGGGAAUUAGUUUUCAUAUAAUUUAAAUAGAAAUAAUUAUGCAUAUAUAUAUAAGAUUAACUUAUCUUACAAGCGAGCAUAUAUAUACAAUUACAUGGAGAUCUGAAUUAUCGGGACUAGAGUCCGUCUAUUCGAUUACAUGGACGAACAUCAGUAAUGGCCCCUAGCUACACUAAAUCGUCCUUUGUCAUCUAUAGCUUCCGUCCUCAGAAAGGUCGCAAGCUCCUCUGCAACAGCAAUCGCGCGUUGCUCUGGUAGGACCUUCGUCGUCAUGGCCGUGUGCUAUAUAAGAAGAGGAGAUGAAUAUGAAUAUCAAUCAUGAUAACAAAGAAUGACGGGUAAAAAUAGAGGUGUGAAUGUUCAUUGCUUACGUCGAAUCUGUGAUCCUUGUGCUCAGAGGUAAACGUGCGAAUGGUCUCGCAAACAUAGUAUCCGCAUAGAUGCGUUCCCAAGGCUGCUGGUCGCACUUUACGAGAAUAGAAUAUAUAUAAUCAAAAUAAUAAUCUAGCAUCAUAAAUGUAUUAAAAAUUAAUAGAAGUAUAUCAUACUACUACUUACCUGAGCCGCUCUAAAGGUCAGCUUCUCAUGAAAGUUACCGGGAGUCACGCACUUGAACCGCUUCCAAACCCUGCCCGACAAGGAUAAUGAUUUGCUAAGUUUUUCAUUAAUUGAUAUAUCAGAAAAUCAUCGAAAGAGACCGAUAGAGCACAAGAAUGAUUAAAAUUACCCUUGGAGCAUGUCCUGCAGGCUUUAGAACUGUUCCAAGGGUNNNNNNNNNNNNNNNNNNNNNNNNNNNNNNNNNNNNNNNNNNNNNNNNNNNNNNNNNNNNNNNNNNNNNNNNNNNNNNNNNNNNNNNNNNNNNNNNNNNNCACUGAUCCAUGGCGGUAAGCGCUUGGCCAUGGCUAUAAUAAGGGAAUUAAUGUAGUGCCCCAGAUGUAAACCUGGCUAUAUUUGGAACCUAUUGCAUGUCGGUCCACCUUGUCAGUGUUUUGAUGAUAGCAAUUAUGCCAUGACCUCAUGUGGUGUCCCUUAUUUUUUUUUUCCUUCCUUCCNNNNNNNNNNNNNNNNNNNNNNNNNNNNNNNNNNNNNNNNNNNNNNNNNNNNNNNNNNNNNNNNNNNNNNNNNNNNNNNNNNNNNNNNNNNNNNNNNNNNNNNNNNNNNNNNNNNNNNNNNNNNNNNNNNNNNNNNNUUUUUUCCUUCCUUCCCAUGCAUGCCCUUGUCUUGUGGUUGCCAUAUGAUCUUAGCAAUUCAUGUGGUGGUGGUGAUCUUGUGGUUGCACCUUGUGAUGCCUUGUGAUGAUGCGCAUGUGAUGUAUAGUUUAAAUGGGGUGUGCAUGUGUUAGUAUAAGCUUGGGUUUCAAAACCAUCUCCACCCCUCCUCUCUAUUUCUCCUAUGUCAAGAUUCUCUUCUCCCUUCACUCUCUUAAAAAAGCCCAUGUAUUAGUGUAUUUUGUGGAGGAUGCCAAGAUGUGUUUUUUUCUGUUUUGUAUCUUAUUUUAAAGGGUGCAAAUAAAUCCUAAACAGUAAAUAAAUUGCUGUUUUGCAUUUAUUCAAAUUGCCCCAAAUAUUUCUUUUCUAUUUAUUUCAAAUAGGUCAUAAUUCCUUAUGACCAGGGGCAUUUUUGUUUUGUUUUUAACCCCAACAGAAUUGCCACUUGUUUUAAAACCUUUUCUGUGUUUAUUUAAAAGAAUANNNNNNNNNNNNNNNNNNNNNNNNNNNNNNNNNNNNNNNNNNNNNNNNNNNNNNNNNNNNNNNNNNNNNNNNNNNNNNNNNNNNNNNNNNNNNNNNNNNNNNNNNNNNNNNNNNNNNNNNNNNNNNNNNNNNNNNNNNNNNNNNNNNNNNNNNNNNNNNNNNNNNNNNNNNNNNNNNNNNNCCCCCCCCCUGAGGGCCCCCUCCUCUAUCUGUCGCUAGUGGCACCGCUCCCGCAUGGCCUAGCCCAAUACUCCCCAGCUCACGUGCGCGGCGCGUCGUCCUCCUCCCUUUCCAGCGAGGCAGGCGGCNNNNNNNNNNNNNNNNNNNNNNNNNNNNNNNNNNNNNNNNNNNNNNNNNNNNNNNNNNNNNNNNNNNNNNNNNNNNNNNNNNNNNNNNNNNNNNNNNNNNNNNNNNNNNNNNNNNNNNNNNNNNNNNNNNNNNNNNNNNNNNNNNNNNNNNNNNNNNNNNNNNNNNNNUCCCUCCCCUCUGCUCCACCGAGAGGAGCGGCAGCACAUGGCCGACGACACGCCCUCGCGAUCCUCCUCUCCAGCUAUUUAAUCCCUUGGCAUCCGUGCACUCGCGCUAGGGUUCCUCCCCGCGCCGCACCGUCCAGAUCUCGAUCCCCCUCUCUCUCUCUUGACGCAGCAAGGUAAGGAGGGCACGGGAUCGCCAUGGCCGACGGGUAGAAGCUCGUCGUCGCCGUCGAUCUUCUUCCUCAACCUCCUCUACGACGGCACCAGCAGCUCGAGGACACCUCCAGGAGCCCGUUCCCAGCGCUACAUCGGUCACCCCCGCGCUGCAUCCACUGCUUCCCGGCGGCGCUUCCCCUCCGACGAGAAGCUUCGCCGACGGCCUUCUUCCACUACUUCCUCUACGAGCCGCUCCCUCCUCGACUCGUACGCGAGGUAGUGCUCCUCCUCCCUCCUCCCUGUCCCAGAUCGGGUGCAGUAGCAGUAGGUUCGAAGCGCGCUUGCUCUCUGUCGCCGGAGCCGCCGCUCGCCAUCGUCACGCCGUUGUAGAGUUCCUUGGGCGUAGUUAGUUAGUGAAAUGAGCUCGUGCGCAUGUGGGCUUCCUCCCCUCCACGAGCCGUUGCUCGAUUUGUACCAUGUCGUCGGCAAGGGUCAUCCCCUGUUCCGGUCUGCCGCCGGUAGUAGAUCAGCAGAGGGACCUCCUUCAGUUCGUUUGUUGCGUGUGUUAGUUCAGACUUCGUAGCGUAGCCCAAUGGUAUGUGUUUUGUUGUGCAAGUAGUGAGGUGCGGGGUUCGAUCCCCCCCUCGACACCUUUUUGUAUUUGAUUUUAUCGGCACAAUGUCCUGCAGAGAGGCUUACCUUGCCUGAACCCUCUGUUAUGUCGAUAAGUUGACAGUAGCAGAGUGGUAAGGGUAGGUUUGUUGAACCAGUGGGUUCUGGGUUCGAAUCCCAGGGAGCCCUCCUUUGUUUUUCUCUUUUUGCUGCAAUUUUACUUCCUUCUUUGUUGUCGCUGUUCUUGUGACAAAAGCAUAGGUGGCAAUGGCAUUCUUUUAAUUUUUCCUUUGCUGUUAUAUUUGUGUUAGUUGUUGUGGUGUGUGGAUGUGCUUGUGAGAAGUGUAUGUGAUGUGUGAGCAUACACAUGAUGUUGGCCACAAGGGAGUGUGUGAGUAAGUGGUGAUGCACUUGUGUGUGUGUAUAUUCACUUAGUAGAGUAGUGAUGCAUGUGCUUAUGGUCAUGUUUUUUCCACCUUAGUUGAGAUUGGCAUUUUAUCACCUUCCUUGUAUUGUGUAGUAGUGGUAGACGAUGAGGUGUUUGUUGGGUGCUUCUGAGAGAUGUGCAUGUGUGUGUGUGUGUGUUGCACACACAUGAGGUGUAGCUAGUGUAGGCAUGCUUGUGUGUGUGAGAAGCUUUCCACCUUUGCAAGCAAGCCUUGCACCUCCACAUGUCCAUAUGUGAGAGGGCAUGGGAUGUUGUUUGUGUGGGAAGCUUAGUAGUAGGGGUUGUGAAGUUGAUGUGCAUGACACAAACAUGGGGUUCAAACCCCCAUUUCACUUUGUCAUUGUGCACAUGAGCUCAACCUUUGUUGAUGUUGAUAUAGUGGAACUACAUGAAAUGAUGCCCUAUUCACUAGGCAUGAUUUGAAGUAGUUUCCUCUUUCUUAAUUGUGGUCACUUGUUCCAAGUAGGUGCCCACAUUUUAUAUAUGAUUUUGGGGUAGAAUCUCCCAAGGAAUCCAGUGGUGAAGUUAGUUUUUCCAUUAGGAUACUUUAUGGAGUUGACAUAUUCAGAUUUGUUGCAAGUUUGCUCUUUGUUUCCAUGGAAUAGGUGGAGCCCAAGGGCAUGAGUUUUUGUGUGGUAACAGUAGAGGUUUUGCUCUACACCAUAGUGGUGUCAUUUAUCACUUGGUGUUAUUUGUGUGCAAGCUAUGCCUAGACAAAGUGGGCAUGUGGCUGAAAAAGUCCAGCUUAGUGAAAUCUGGAAUUUCACCAAGUCUGAGAAUCUGGAAACAUUUUCUUCUCCUAUAGAUGAGGUUGUGCUUGUCAUUGUGUUGUGAACUAGCGUUAGUUCAGUGCUAGGAUUUUGGACCUGAUAUGUUUUUGAAGCUCCCUGUAAAAUUUCAUCUCAUUUGGAGUGCUGUAGAUUAUGUUUUGGUUGCUGUCAAAAAGCUUCAGAACAAAGACAGGAAGCCAGGUGCAGGAAUUUUCACUAAGUCCCUGAGAUCUGAUGGUUUUGGGAAAGUUUGUGGCCCUGUAUCUUCUUGUGUUUAAUUCCUUUUGGUGUGAUUCUUGCUGGUGAUUGUAGUGUUCUUGGUUGUCUACAGCCACAUAUAUUAUUUGUCAUAUUUGGAGGGCUGUAGCUAUGUUGCAUGUAGCUCACAAAGAGCUAAGAUGCAGAUUAUGGCAGAUUGAGUAGUAUAGUCAUUUUGAUGAUUGUGUGUGCUUAGUUGAUGUUGUGGUGUUCUCCCUUGCUCCAAUUCAUUCAUGUUGGGUGGUUAUAUGUCUUGGCAACCUGCGAAUACCAGAUUUGUGCCAAUUAUGGGUGUGGUGUUGAUUCUUACACGUAGGGCUUCAUAUCUUGUUUCGAUGAUUCCCGUUGAUCCGUAGCUCCGGUUGUAAUGUUCUUUAUAUGGUUUUGCAUCGUUUUCACGAGACGCAUCUGUUCAUGCCAUUCUCAUGCAUGUAAAAAUAGCUUAGUGUACAGUUUUUUCCAGAAACUUGUAGUAGUUUCUUUGCUUGUGCUAGUGAUAGAAAUAGUAAUGCAUGCUCAUUUUCAUCUCAUGCAUCAUGUGCUUGUUGCAUCUUGUGGUGCUGCUGUUCAUUGGUUGUUAUUCUUAUGUUGGGUAGCACCGGGAUCGGAGAACGAAUACGUGGAGUCAGGAGAGUACGUGCAGGACGAACCAGAACCAUUCCAAGCUGAGGAUAUCACAGGCAAGAUGAUAUGACCUUGAUUCCAUCUCUAGACUUGUUAUGCUAGUUUGCGUUUCCAUGUCAUAUUGCUCGCUGCCUACCACUGAAUUAAAUUGCCUCUUGAUAUGCCAUGAACCCAAACACUGAUCCCUUCCUAGCAAAACUUGAAUGGCUAAGUAGGCUUUGCUCAGCUACUAAUGUUAGCGUUGCUAGAUGCAGGUGCUUUGACUCAUGUGAUAACAUGAGCUUGAUAUCAUUAUCUUAAAUUCUGUUAUUUAAUUAAUGCACUUAUAUACUUGGUAAAUGACGGGAGGCCUAGCCUUUUGCCGGGUGCUUUGUUCCGUUAUUGACGCCUUAGUUACCGGCUACCGGUGUUUGAUUCCAUAAUGAUCGCUCCUAACACGUUCGGGGUUGUUAUGGGGACCCCCUUGAUAAAUCGCAUAGUGCUAAGGCUUGUCCGGCAGGACCCAACAUUGGUUUUAAUCUGCUAAUCACAUAAUAAUCUGCAUAGGGAAUAGUUACCCGAGGAAUUUAAUCAACAACCCGGGCCAGUGCUCCUCAUGAGUGUUGGUCCCACCUGAGUGAUGUCCGGGGCCCCACUGGUCACCCAGAGGUUUAGCCAUCCCGACGUCUAGCUCAUCCGUCGUGUCCUGAGACUGAGAUACGCGGCUCUUAUCAGGGUCGUCGACACGACGGGAGGUCCUGCUAGCCUUGUCUUACCUUAGCGAUAUAUCUUGCGUAUAGGAAUCCCAGUGAAGCUUUGGUUUCCCUCAGAGUAGAGGUUUUCCUCUAAGGAAUCCGACGAGAUCACGAGAUUCGUGAUAGAGGAUGCCAUUGUGGCCUGUGUACGUUUGUGGUGGACUAGUUGGAGCACCCCUGCAGGGUUUAAUCUUUCGGAAAGCCGUGCCCGCGGUUAUGUGGCAACUUGGAAUAUUUUGUUAACAUCCGGUAUUAAAGAACUUAAACAUAAGCUAAUAAAAUUGCCAACUGUGUGCGUAACCGUGACUGUCCCCCUCGAAGAUCUCUCUUCGAUCGGGAACACGGUGGGGUUAUGAAUGUCGUAGGUAGGUGUUCAGGAUCACUUAGUGAUCAAGUAAUCACGACCGCUAGUGUAGACCACCUUCAUAUUUGCUUUAGGUAAGUUAGCCACCAAAAUCAAGCUUAGGAUGCUGCAGCCUUAUACACUUCACCCUUACCCUACCUAAUAACAUGACUAGUUCUGGCACCAAGGUCUUAGAUUGCUGAGUCCCCGUGGCUCACGGAUUCCUCCAAAACUCCCAACAGGUACAGGUACCCAGAGACAGAUGAUCCCGACGGCACCCAGCUGGCGUGGCAGUACGACGAGGAGACAGACCGCCUCUACGUGAACUAUCCAGAGGAUUGAGGCAUGGUCGUGAUCGUGGGCCUGCACGCAGGGUAGCAUAGCAUUUCCAUGUUUUGUAGUCCGUAGCGGAACUACCUUGAUUGUAUCUGUGAUGUACUCUGAGUUAUUAAUGAGAAGACAAUUGAAUCCCGAAUUGUCUACUUUUAUUAUUUUGUGCUAUGUUACUUGCUUGCGAAACGCUUAGAUGCGCUUCUUUCCUAUUCGGGGACUCGACCCCCAGAUCGGAAAGGACCGCAUAUUGGUCAUUACAAUUAAUGCUCCGAUGGCAUUGGCAACACGUUCUUCUGACUGACAUUUCGGCUUAUUACAAUAAAAAAAAAGGUCUUACCGUAUACAAAUAAGCAUAAAUAAAACACCGAUACUUAAAAACAAACUUUAUUUCUUUAAGCAUCUUCUCUAAUUACCUUGCAUUGUACUCCCUCCGUUUCAAAAUAAAUAACUUAAAAUAACUCAACUUUGUAUAAAAUUAGUACAAAAUUAAGUUACUUUUGAAUUACUUCUUUACCUAUUAAUAAAGCAGUUACUGCUUCUGCCGUACGUUAUAAUUUUUACACCUAAAGUUGCCCUAAAUUACCCACCAUGCCAUCCACAAGUUAAGAAAACGAUUCAGAUUUUCGCCCUUGUCAAAAUCACCGUGAGAUAUCGUUUUUAUAAGUUUGGACAAGAAAUUGGUACAAACGCAUGCGUAGCAUAGUGGCUAAAGCCGCCCAGGGCAGACCCGGGUUUGAUUCUUGGAUCCUGCGUCUUUUUUCCAGUAUCUCCUUUUUCUUUUUAUUACAACUAGCAUGCACAUCCUCCUUUCCUUUCCACUACGUUUUCAUGGCCGGUUCAUGUUUUUAUCUUUAAUUUUUAUGUCCUUUUUCUCAUUAAUUUUUUAUUUUUCCUAUCUUUAAAUUAUUUCGUAAUUUCUCAAAAAUCCAAAUUUUAAAAGUUGUGAGUUCUAAAAAAUGUUCAUCAAAUCAUACAAUGUUUGUUAUUCGGAAAAUUCGGACUUUGUAAAAAACAAUGAAUUUUAAAAAUGUUUACGAUUUUUAAUAAUGUUCGUUAUUUCAAAAAUGAAUUGUGGAUCAGACAAAUGUUCAUUAUUCAAAAAAUAUUCAAAAAUUUGGAAGAAUUUAGGAAAAUUAAAAAUAAAUAAAUAAAAAAGUAAAUAGAAAAACUAAGAGAAAAUGUGAAACCGAAAAGAAAACAUAAAAACGUAAGAUAAGAAAAAAUAAAAACCAGGCAAAAAGAGAUUCAUUUUGCGAAAGCGAUGGACACUAAACUGUUGAUAUGAGGUUUAUGUACGAGUGAUUUAAUAUUGAUUUUCAUAUUGUUUGAAAUUGUGCUAAUAAUGAUUAUUAUUUUCAUACUGUCAUGUGGUCUAUUUUAGUAGUUCUCUAUAAGAUUGAUUUAAAUAGCUUUAGAAUUUAAGCGGUUAAGUCUUUUAGGUUUAGGUUUUACUUAGUUCUUGAGAAGUGUUUAUAUGCCUAGGGGUUGGGAGUAGUUUGUGAUCGACGAGAUUAGUUGUUAAAGUUUUAAAAAUUCCAUUGUGCUACACAAUAACAAGUGUGGCGUGCAGUGGCUGGCUCAUAGUCUUAAGAUUUACCACGUCAAAUGCAUUAUAAUUACAUGGACACACCGGACAUCAUUAAAGAGCGUGGAAAAAAUAAAGAAGUGUCAACAUGAUGAGCCACUGUGUUACAAUUAAAAAAAUAGAGGACGCUCAUACAUCGAGGUAUUGAGUCAUACUUAUUUAAUUAGGGCGUAAUAUUUUGACUUCCGUUGCAAUGCACAAACAUAUUUGCUAGUAUUUUAAAAUGGAGGAAGGGAGUACAAGUCGUAAUGCGACGUGAACUGGGCCGUGACUCAAUCCGGCACCGACCCAAACCGAGACAUACCGACUUAACCCUCCCAGUUAUUUAUUUUUUUAUACCAAAUCCCACAGCCUCGAACCGCACCUUCAAUUCCAUGGACAUAUAUCAGGUGACAUGCACCUUUGCAUGUCAUCGUAUGACUUGCGGUUUAAAUUUAAAUUUAAACAUUGCAAAAAAAUAUGAAAAAAAUCAUGCAUGUUCACAACACAUAUUAAGAUAAUCCCUAAAAAAUUCAGAUCAAAAUUCGAAACAUACAUCAAGAAACAAAAAAGAGAAAUCUGUCAUAAAUAGUCAUGAAUGGUUUUGUGUAGACUAUUCAUAUAUGAAUUUUUUUUUUUGUUUUUCGGUGUAUGUUUGGAAUUUUGAUCCGAAUUUUUUAGGGAUUAUCUUAAUAUGUGUUGUGGACAUGCAUGAUUUUUUUUAAGAUUUUUCCAUAAUGUUUAAAUUUGAAUUUAGGCCACAAGUCACACGGUGACAUGCAAACAUGAUCUUUGUCCCAAUUCCACCGCCGCGAAAACCAAAACCCGCCACACUCAUCGACCUCCAAAACCCUAGAGCCAUGGCGACGGAGACAACCCCCGCCGCCGCGCCGCGCCUCCUCCUGGGCCCGCCCCUGGUCCGCGCGGCGCGCCCGUCGCCUGCCGCGGACGACACCUCGGAGUCGCACCCGUUCCUCGACCUCCUCGACGCGGCCUUCAACGCGCCGUCCGCGGCCGAGGGCAAGGCGGCGCUGACCCCGCGGGCGGCGCUCACGGACAACUGCAACGCCACGCACGCCAACUCGGGCGACCCCUGCGUUGAAUUGUUUGAAUUUUAAUAAUUGUUUGAAUUCAAAAAAGUAAAUCAUGUGACAUGACAUCAAACCCUAGGUUGUUUAGGAUCGAUAGCUUACUAUUGUCAGGAGAACAACAAGUGCAGACUUGGCAACUAGGGGCGAUAGAACCAGGAAGUUAAACGUGCUCGGGCUGAAGCAGUGAAAGGAUAGAUGACUGGCCGAGAAGUUAGACGAUUUGAAAUGAGUAAUCUAUGCUAGAGCAGUGAGGAUGGGUGAUUAGAGAUUAAAUUGUCAAAUAAAUCAAAGAUUUAAAAAUUGAAAUAAAACAUAAAAACAAAUCAAAGAAUAUUCAAAAAUAAAAUUUGAAAAAUAAAUAAAAAAGGUACCUUUUUGGGUCAAACAAACAAAAUAAACAGACGGAUCCUUUAGUCCUAGUCCGUGUUAAGACCCGUGACUAAAGGGCCUGCCCUUGAGGGCGCUCCGAGGCGCCCACGUGGAGCACCUUUGGUCCCGGCUUGGAACAGGGCCGGGACUAAAGGCGCCUCUUUGGUCCCGGUUGGUGAACCGGGACUAAAGCCCCUUACGGGCCGGGACUAUAGGCCCUGUCCCCUCCAGUGAGAGGAUAAAUCUUGAGAAAUCUUUGGUGUUUCUUAGUGAGGGAUGCUCACAUGUAGUAAGAGAUGAGAGCACAUAUUUUGAGUAUCCAAAAUGAGGCACUUACUAAGAAAUACUCCCUCCGUCCCAAAAUAAUUGUCUUAACUUUGUACUAACUUUAGUAUAAAGUUGUACUAAACUUAAGACAUUUAUUUUGGAACGGAGGGAGUAUUUGCGAAUGCCCAUUGUUGUCGUUAACUUAACUCAAAGUAUGAAGCUUUCAAAUAUUUAAAGGAUCUUGUCUCGAAUAAAAUUUGUGGAUGGAUCGACAAAACCUUACCUAUUGGGGUCAAGGAGGUCCUUAGAGCUUUUUUAGCAGACCCCGCAAACUGGUCAAACCCGUAAAAAACGAGGUGUUUACAGUUUCGGUCAGAAAAACGACGCGGAGCAGACCCCGUAAACCUUGAUCGGUUCAUAAAUUAUUGAAGGGGCAUGGUAAAUCUAUCCAUGGAAAACUUGUCAAACCUCGUCGAAGCAAACACGCCGUCGUGGAACUAGCCGAAAUCUACCUGGAACUCCCCGGAAUCUGCCCCGCAUGUCGGAAGAAGUAGCCGCACACCGAAAUUAUUCGCCGCCGGUCCGAAUUGCGGCCAGCUCGACCUCCACUACCGAGAUGAGACCGUCCACGGGUAGGAUGGAGCAGGCCAUCGGUGGCCAGAAUCAGGGCGGGGCGUGUCACGCCCAAGAUGCGACCCUAUCCUCAAUUUGGCACGAAGGCCUCGUCAGGGAUAGAAGCACAUCUCGUCGUGUCGCAAGAAUGGAUAUCGUUACAAGUACAUGUACUGAAAAGAAGAGAUAUAUAUACAUAGUUGACUUACACUCGCCACAAGCUACAUCAGAGUCUCAUCAGUACAUUACAUAAUCAUCAAGAGUAAGAGCAGGGUCCGACUACGGACGAAAACAAACGAGAAAAAUAAGAACGACGUCCAUCCUUGCUAUCCCAGGCUGCCGGCCUGGAACCCAUCCUAGAUCGAUGAAGAAGAAGAAGAAGAAGAGGCAACUCCAAAUGAACAAUCAACGCGCUCGCGUCAAGUGACCUUUACCUGUACCUGCAACUGGUGUUGUAGUAAUCUGUGAGUCACAGGGGACUCAGCAAUCUCAUUUCCAAAGGUAUCAAGACUAGCAAAGCUUAGUGGGUGAGGCAUGGUUAAGUGGUGACGUGGCAGCAAUGGCUAAGCACAUAUUUGGUGGCUAAACUUACGAGUACAAGAAAUAAGAGGGGGGAAGAUCUACGCAUAACGGACGUUACUACUGAUAGUCAAAUGAAUGAUCCUGAACACCUACCUAUGUCAGACAUAACCCCACCGUGUCCUCGAUCGGAGAAGGAACUCACGAAAGAGACAUUCACGGUUACGCACACAGUUGGCAUAUUUUAAUUAAAUUACUCCAAGUUAUCUAGAACCAGUGUUAAACAAAGUUUCCACGUUGCCACAUAACCGCGGGCAUGGCUUUCCGAAAGAUUUAACCCUGCAGGGAUGCUCCAACUAGUCCAUCACAAAUUACCACAAGCCGCAUAGAAAUCCUCAAUCACGAAGCUCGCGACCUCGUUGGAUUCCCUAGUGGAAAACCUCAACUCUAAGAUUACUCAAAGCAUCACCGGAAUUCCGAUGCACAAGAUAUCUCGUCAAAGGUAAAACUAAUCCAGGAAGGCCGCCCGACGUGUCGACGAUCCCGAUAGGAGUCGCGUACCUCGUUCUCAGGACACGACGGAUGAGCGAUGGUUACCACGCCAAACGCCGAGUUGCCCCGGGUAGCGCUAAUAAGCUGCUCUAUUUUGGACCAACACUCAUGAGGAGCACUGGCCCGGGGGUUGAUUAAAUUAUCCUCGAGGCCCGGGAAGUCCCUAUGCAAUUUUAUUAGGUGAUUAGGCAAAUGUAGUACCAAUGUUGGGUCUUGCCAGACCAGCUUUAAUCUAAAACGAAUUAUCAAGGGGGUCCCAUAACAACCCCGAUCGUGUUAGGAGCGCUCAAUUAUGGAACAUAACACCGGUAGCCGGAAACUAAGGGGGCAAAGGUGGAACAAAACACCAGGCUAGAAAAGGUCGAGCCUUCCACUUUUUACCAAGUAUAUAGGUGCAUUAAAUUAAAUAGCAUUUAAAUAUAGUGAUAUAACAAGGAACCCAUGUUAUCACAUGGAAGCAACUGCACGAGCAACUAGCAACGCUAACAACAGGGUUAAGCAAGCAGUAACAUAACCAAUCAGUGGUUUGCUAGGUUGAACAGGUUGAAGGUUAACAUGACAUUGUUGAGAGACUGGUAUUUAACAUGUGGUAGGCAACGAGACAUAAUCGACAGAAACGGUAAACUAGCAUGGCAAUGAUAGUAAUGGUAUUUGGAGAAAUGAUCAUCUUGCCUGAGAACCCGCUUGGAAGAAGAAUGACUCCGUGAAGCAGACGAACCGAUGUAGUCGAACGGGUCCUCACAAUCCGGCACGCUGCGGAACUCUAUCGAGACGAAGCAAACCGGAAACGGAAAUCAACACACGGAAUUCACCACACGAUGCACAACACAUAUGAUGCAUGAGCAGCUGAAUAUAUGCAAGUCACGGCAUGACAAUUCACAACAACCAAAUACUACACAUUAAGUGAAGUUCAAUAUGCAACGAGUUGCAUAUUGACGAAACUCCACGUUAAUUAUUUAGUUGUAUCCCGAGUAGAUACACGGUAAUAUUAAAUGUGAUUAAACAUGGCAAGAGGUGAAGCGCAAAUAAUCUACCUAUCUAGGCAUUUUAAAUGAGGUCGGAAAUGACAUAUAGCACCUCCGAGAUGACCUCACAUGUUAAUUUACAAUUCCGUCCAGAUCUGAACUAAUGCAUUUAAUUAGUUGUUAAACAGCAAAACAAAUAGGUUCACGUGAUUCUACGCGUCAUUUCAGGCAAACUACACAUAGAGAACAUCUUCAACGGAGCUACGGAUCAAAAGUUACAAGCACCUCAAGAUAUGAUGGCAUGAAUGCAAAAUGUAUGCAACGGCGGCUACGAGCACUUCAAAACACCCAACCAGCAAGGGAAAAUGAAACUACACGAGAUUCUAAGCAAGUUUCAUGUAGGACACGUUCAAAUCGGAGCUACGGUUCAAAAACUGCGAGCAAAACAAGAAAUGACUACAAUCUGCCAAAAUCAGCUACAUAGCAUAUUCUACGCCCCACAACUACGAGCUACACAACUCCGAUAAACUCAAGCAAGGCAUGGCACGAAAGAGGGCAAGAAGCAUUACUACAAACAACUAACAACAACUAGCAUGGCAGCAAGGAGCACUAGAAAAAGAAGACACAAAAUGGCUUCUCACACAUUAUUUCAGACUUAUUGAAAAUUACACCUCAUGAAUGUGCAUUUUUCGAUCUGAAGCUAUAUUGGCAGCAGCAAAACCUAUAUCUACAGGACUCCUAAUGACAUGAAAAUUUACAGCAUGCUAGGGAAACAUAAGGGGUACAACUAACUCCAUUUGACCAACCUCAAAAGAGCUACAGAUCAAAAGAAACAAGCAAGAUAAGACAUCAACAAAAUAUUACAGAUUCCAGACUUAGAAAUAUUUUAGCUCCUCCAAAACAGCACUAUUUCUAGCAACUUGAGAGCAAGCAAACAACACCUAAACAUGCAUUUCUAUUGCAACCAAAAAUACCAGGGGCUAAACAAAACAUCCACGAUCAACUCUCUAGUUGACAACACCGUCAAACGACGCACGGAAGAAAUCCUACGAAUUAAACAAAAGGGCAACAUAGCAAAAUAUCUCGCGAACUAACUUCCUCAAAAACUAAAACUAAUUCAUGGAUUUUUCUAACCCGAAAACAUAUAAAAUAUGUGGGGUUGCACAACAAUAUAAAGCCACACGAAAAUGCGAGAAAUAAUCCUAGACACGGAAAAUAAUCUAGCGACAAAUCCCUAUACGCAAAAGUAUCAAUGGCCGCUCUAAAAUACGUGAAAUAAUGGUCCCUAAAACAUGGGCAUUUAUCUAAGGCAUUCGAGCAACCCGAUCUUGCACGAAAAAUAAAUAUAUACGGGUCGAAACCUUAAAAAAUCGGAUUCUACGCGAAAAGUUACACGAGGUACAUAUGCUACUCGUCGCAAUCUGACAAACGGUUUAAAAGAUACACGCGUUUUAUAUACGUCUAUUCCUGUGGAAUUUAUACUAUUCCGAAAAAAUCACCUAAGUAACUAAUGGGCCUAACAGCAUGCGCAACAUAUCUAAAAUGUGCGGGGGCGAGGAAUAGCCUCACCUGGGCAGGCCGUGGCCCGGAUGCGAGGAGGAGGCCGAGGCCUGGGGCUUGGGGACCCUGGGCCGGCUGCGGUUGGGUCCAGCCAAGCCGGGGGGCGAGCUGGGCCGAGGCCCACGCGACCAGGCUGCAGUCACGCAGGCGGUUGCCUCGUCCUCCCGUGCCCGAGGCACGAGGCCCUGGCGGUGCUGCACCUCGCUGCAGGCGGACGGGGAGGACGUCCCAGCCGGCAGCCAGGCGAGGCCUCCACGGCGGCGGGGAAGGCCGGAUCUGGCGCAGUUCGAGGGGGCGGCAGCAGCACAUGGCGGCGCGGAGGCCGGAGGGCCGAUGUGGCGGCGAGAACUGGCGCUGCGAGGGUCGGCUCGAACUGGCGGAGAAGGCGCGAGGGCGGCCGGAUCCAGGGCAGCACGGGGCGGCGAGCUCCCGCGAGGAGGACCGGCAGCGGUGCGCGCAGCGACGCAUGUCGUCGGCGGGGCUGCUGCACGCGGCGGCGCUCGGGGCUGAGGCAGAGCGCACGGGAGCAGGGAGGCGACGGCGAGCUGAGGAAGAACGGGGCGGCACGGCAGAUCCGGGCCUUCGGGGCCUGCUUCGGCCCGGGGCAGGCCCGAUCUGGGCUGCUGCGGCGGGGAGGAGAGAGUGGCAGCGGGAGAGACUAGGGUUUGGUGGGGGCUGCGCGAAAAACGAGGAGGAGAGAGUGGUAGGCUGCCUUAAAAAUAGGAGGGGUAUAUAUAGACAAACGGGGGGGCUAGGUUAGCCGGAAUUUCGUUCCGGAUCCAACCGUGCGGUCGGAUUCGGACGAUUCCGAACGCGGGAACGGGUACGCGGCCGUGUAGAGGGGAUAACCGAAGACGAGAGGGAGAACGGGCGGCGCGGCAACGAGUUUUCAAACACCGACAAACGUCCGACGGUAGACCGAAUACGGUGCCGCUACGGUCGACCGUUCGGGUACCAGACGAACUCCGAUCACGACGAAACUUGACAGGCGGCCUACCUAUAUUAAAAUAAGACCGCACGUCAAAUCUCAACCCAAUCAGAGAAAGUUUUACGCGCACUUUAAAAACAGGGUUACGAAGGUGCCGCGGGCGCGUGCGAGUGCGGUCGGGCUCAGAACGGACAACGACGAGAACCGACAACUAACAACGGAUGCAAGUUUUCGAAAACUGGCGGCAACAGGAUGCCGAUGCAAUGCAGAUGAUGCGAAUGAUGCGACAAAAUAAAAUAGACACACGACGAAAACGGGAAGGAAAGGGAAUCUUUUGGAAUGUCGACAUCGGGUUGUCACAGGGCGGCACCGGAGAAGAGUGGGGCAGGCUGAGGGAGCUCGUGCAGCUACGACGGCGGGCGGUGUCGAGCUCAAUCGGGGACGGGCAUUGCCGAGCUCAAUCGGGGGCGGGCGGUGCAGGUCUCCUCCACUGCAUGCAUGGCCGGGAACGGGGGACGACAAGACGAGGCGGGGACGAGGCGGGCGGCGCCGGAGCGCGAGGGCGAGGCACGCUCAGAUGAGAGGAAAAAAGAAAAAUAAUGACCUAUAGUGGAAUACAGUUCCAUUUACGGAGUUUAUUCUCUGUCGAGAGAAAUUCCACACCAUAAAAAUGGUUUACAGUGUCCUUUAUACACGUUUUUAAAUGUCGGUUUUUAUGAGGUGUGUUAAUGAUGCUCUUAUUAAGUCGGUUUCAUAGGCAGUCCUUGUUUUUCUCUAUGCCGUGUCUCCAAGGCACCUCACGAUUUGGGACACCACAUUAAUGCUAUGAUAAAAAAAAUUGGUUGGGGACACCGAAGAGGCGAGAGUCUCGUGGGAGGUUAGACUUGUGCCAAUUCAUCGUCUUUUAUCAUGUUAUCAUAGAAACAUUAAUAAUUUAAGAUACAACCAUGUCAAUGCAUUAUUUUUUAUGAGUUGUAUCUAUAUUUUAUAAUUUAGGGUAAUGCAUGCAUAUGAUUAGGCUAGAAUCAUUUUUUAUCUAUGACCACGUCAGUUGUAUGUUAGCUAAGAUACAACCCCACUCGCUUUUUUCAUUAACUAGUACACCACGUCAAAAAAAUGCCUACGAAACCGCCCUAAAAAACUAGCAUUGAGACAUGCCUUAUGACUAGAACGAAACACCUGAGGUCUGGGCUUUAGGGAUAUUGAACAUUUGAAUCUGGCUUUUAGCAUGGCGGCUUAUCUAGGACCCAAUCUCUUUGAGUCCUCGCAUGGCGAAUUAAGUUAGUUACUCCCUUCGUUCUUAAUUAAUUGUCGCAACUUUGUCACUUUCGGAUGACUCGGGUUAGUACGUCGGAUUGGGUGAAGGCGAAAGCUAGCCAUCUUAAAAAUAUAAUUGAUCGGUAACGACGGAAGUGAAAAUUUCGGUUCAUUAAAGACUACAAAGUUUGGGAACAUUCUCCAAACUAAACCCUCAAUAUUUUCCUCCUACAUUAAUCGGAGUUGAGGUUUCACGAUCAUGGUCAACAUGAUAUUCUGAGAAAAUGAACUUAUAAAUGAAGUAUUUUUUUCAGAAGAUGUCUCUUAUGUCAAAUAGUAAUAUAACAUAUCUCUCCACGUACCUUUGUUUUGUAAAAAUCGUAUGGUCGGAUUGCCUUGUUUAUCAUAAAUCUAUGCCUUAUCAAGGCUUUAUAAAGUCGGACAAACACUGCUCGACUACUGGCCGAAGAGGUUGAAGCCGAUGGUCGGUAAACAUAGUCUUGUACAAUGCGGAUCCAAGCAUUAAUGACGUAAAGUACUUGAAUACAUAGAAUCAUUAGACAUAAAUUGUGUCAAAUAUAACAAAGUUAGUGUCAAACAAAUAUCAAUCAUUAGUUUCAUCACCCAUCCCAAAUUAGGGCUCCAUAAUUUUCAGAUUUUUGGCCGACACACACCUUGAGGGCUACUGGCUAUACAUCUCGGUAGUACAUAAAUGCGGCAAUCGGAAAUAAAUUCCGCAAAAAAGAGUCCGAGACUGAGGUGGUGCACCACCUCGAAAGCAGUCCGGCAUAAAUCUCGGAUGCGAAUGGUUGGCUUCAUAAAAGACUAUUCCGGCAAUUAAGCUCGGAUGAACCCCUUCAAAUUUUCAGAGACCAAGGUAAUUUAUGACACCUCGAAUGCCGGCCAAUGUUCGACCUCGACUGCAAUUCGGCGUUAGAGCUCGAAUGCAAGUGGACACCGCCACACGGAAAACACUUCAAACCCGAGGUGUGAUCUAAAAAUAACAAAGACAUUGAUAAAGCCCGAGAAAUUAAAAGGGGCUCCUUGGACGCUCGACGUGUGUACUUAUCGAACGCUACCUGACGUGCGAACUCAUCGGAUUCUUGACGUGCGAACUCUUUGGAUACACCUCAGCGAUCCUCAAGAUCUGAGAGGAGAAGAUUGGUUGAACCAGCUUUGAAGACCGACGACCGAAGAUGAAGAACUAUUCGGAAGAACAGAGGAGCGUCACCAACCUGAAGACCAGGGGCUGCUGACGGUGUCCAAAACUAGGGGGUACUCACGAAUUCGUCUCCCGACCAGAUGGGUCAGGCCAAGGACCCCAUGAUGAUUCAUUGAUAGGCCACUUUGGGCAGCCCAUGAUGCAUACAAAUAAGAUUUUACAAGACUUGCUCGCAAGACAAGGACUCCUUUAAACCCUAAACCCAUAUUAUUUUGCACAACCACUAUUACAUGCAACACAAGAAACACUUGGACAUACUAAGCAGACUAUUCACAUCGACUAAAGCAUGAUAGUCUACCUCACGGCUUAUAUAACAAUUAAAAAGGUAAUUAUGAGGAUGGUUUCCUUGAGCGAGGUUUGCGCGCACCUAGACGGGAAACAAAGAACGUCGUCCAAUCCAUCGCCAAGGGUACAACCUUCCGGCGGUUAAUAUUCUUAAAGCUCGUCAACUUCACCAUCACCCCCGUCUCAAGCUCCGCAGCAUACACGUUCCAGUCGUCGUCCUUGACGAGCAACACGCCACCCUCCUCUCCCACAAUCGUCAAGUCCAUCACACUAGUAGUUUCCCAGCUGGGUGGUUUUAACAAGUCCACAAACGCAGCGCAUAGCCAUACUGCAGGACGACCACCAUCCUCAUCUUGCCGCCGUGUCCAUAUCUCUAGCCUCAAACCCUGCCUGUGCAGGUAAAGUAACGAUAGCUUCUCGCCGGCAUGGACAAUAAGCUGUGGCUCAUCAUAAUAUUCAGUCCUCUUGUGUUUGGCCGGGAUCGCAAUCUUUGUCAGGGAGACGCUGCAUGUCUUAGCGUCCACCUCAAUGGUGUGCAGGCUCCAGUCAUGGCCUCUGCAAUGACAAAUGAGCCAGUGUGCCGUGCCUCGGCACACAACGGCACGGGGGUCCCUGAGGGGCAACCAAUUACCCGUCAACCUACCCUUGUUAUCACUGGAUGCAAAUAAACUACUCGGACCGCUCCACCUUGCCUCGCCGGACGUGAAUUUGUGGAGGUUGCAUGGCCGGUGAUCCCUGUCGGUACCAAUGAUGAGCACUUUAAAGAAGGCCGGGUAACCGUGCUUGGCGUUCUUCUUGGUUAGGAUGGCAUAGCCGCCGCUCUUCUUGAAAUCCCAGUUACACUUGAGCGGGGGCAGCUCGUCGCACGAUCCAACGAGCAAAUUACACACGGCCAGGCGGACGAUGGAGUUGGAUGAGAGGUCGACGAGGCGCACGAGGAGGAGGCCGUGGCGAGCGACGAGCGGCACCGCGUUCUCCAGCCGGGCCCUCGUCGCUCUAGAGAAAAACGUCUCGAGAAACCAGUGAUCGGAACUGAACACCGAUCGAGGAGUGGGUAUGAAGGAGGUGAGAAGGGUUGAGCCCCGUCCGAAGCUGAUCUUUUCCCAGAUGAAAAACCCCGAGAGCGACGACGACAUGUGAUCCGGCCAGCGUCGGUGACGGAGGAAGGAGGGGCUGAGCAUGAUGCGGCGCCACUGCUUGCACGCCAUGGCGCAACGGAAGAGGUCGGCCACGUCCUUCACGCGCAUGAAUAUCUCGCGGACGACGUCGUCCGGCAGCGAGGCCGCCGCCGCCUCCGUCGUUUCUCCCAUAUCGUAUGUGUACCGUGGUGCUCUGAUCGGGUUAUGCAAGUACGUACAUCAUCUCGAGGUGUUGAAAUUUAAAGAGACCAAGUCCUAGUCCGAGUCUUCAUCGAGUCGAACUCACGUCCGAUUCGAAGUAGAACCAAACCGAUUUAUGCAGCCGCGUCGUAUCAACUAUAUAUAUAUGGAGGUGCAUUUGCAACUGGGGGUGAGCACGCUCUUGACAGCCACCACCAAAUGGUGCUACGCGCUCUGCCGUAUCAACUAUGGAGAUGAUCAGCUUCUUGUGGACCUAAUCUCAUGCAAGCUAUGUGUCUGGGUUUAUUUUUCACAUCGUCUUUUUGGUCAAAGUUUGACCACAUAUUUGACUAGCAAAAUGUUAAUGCAUGCCAUAAAUAAUUAUAUUGUUGAAUUCAAAUUUAAAUGUAGUUUUCAGUCUCUUCUGCUCAGCAGCUCGUCUCGAAGAUCUGGGCACCAGGGAAGGUAAAUUUUUUUCCUAUGGCUGCUGCAUCACGGCCGGUUGUGGUGCAACGACCGUCUGCAGCGGCGAGGGUGGGAAAACAACUAUAUUUGCCAGCUCUGCAACAGAAAUCUGGAGUCCUCUUUUCAUUUUCUGUGGGACUGCGAGGUCUCGAGGGAAAUCUGGACGACAGUGGCCUCAUGGGCCGGCUGCGCUGCGCUCUUCCCUGCUUCCUGAAACACGUGCAAGUCCACUAGCGAAGCAAUAACAGCCAUCAUCAACACCGCGGCACCGAGAGAGAAAAAGGGCAUCAAAACAAUGGUCGCCCUGAUCGGAUGGCACAUUUGGCAGGAGAAAAACAACCGCACCUUCAGAAAGAAGUUGCCGAGCAAACGGGAUAUCAUCGCAGCUUAUCGGAGAGACAUGAAGCAACGGAGACUUGUCGGAAGAAAUGGCAUUGAGGCCCCAUUCGGGGAGAUAAUGUGAGAGAUUUCCAUCCAUGCUGCCUUAGUAGGGAGGGUGUCAGUGCCUGCGUGCACUGUUGACCUUCCUAAAGACUACGAUCUUUUUUGAUCAACUUUUUUUUAUGUAACGUCGCUUCCGCUAAGCCAAUGAAUGCCAACGAGUCUGGAUCUUUUAAAAAAAAGUCUCUUCUGCUUCAAUUUAACCCCCUAGACACAUCAACGGUUGAGGUCUAUCCACACUUCUUGUGAAAAAAGGAUGGGAUGGUUAUUUUAGAAAAUACGUCGGCCAAACCACCUGUGAAAGCCGCGAUGCGCCGGCCCAUCAAUGAUGUAUGCAUGUAUGACUGUCAAGUGAAAUAGAAACGAAAAAAGAAUAUUGUCGGGCAAGGAUUCAAACAUGAGACCUCGACUGACAGGAGCGAACUGAUGGUCACUAGCACUAACAAGCACAAGUUGUUAUUUAGGCAGCACAAAGUUUUAAAAGAAGAUAAUAACAGCGUCGGUUCCUGAAAAUAAAAAGCAAAACAUUUUUCUGAAAAAAAUGAAUAUUUCUUAAGAAGCGAAUAUUUUUCAAAAGUUAUGAAAAAAAUUGAACUCGAACAUUUUUUUGAAACUCUCAAACUUCUUUUUGAAUUUUAGACAUUUUUUAAUCACAACAUUUUUUGAAACAGAAAGAAGUUUUCAGGAAUAGUGGGCCCUGUACACAUCUUAACAAAAUUGUUUGGGAAUAAAAAAAUACUCAGAGCAUAAAUUUGAAAAAAUGUUUAUUCAGAGCAUAAAUUUUUCAGAGUCCGUUUACUUACCAUAUCACAUACCUCUUCCUUUUAAGGGUUGCAAAGUGUUAUGGAAGUUCUCCUUUUAAGUGUAUAUCUCUAGUAAUAAUCCGCUAAAAAAACUCCGCCCAGACAAUAAAAUCUCACAACCAAGUCCCUGACAAUUUGUGACCAGCACCCUAAAGUUUUUGUUUUCUUACAAACAAGGACAAUUUUUGACAAGACUCAUGAAUUUUCGUCGGAAAUUUCGGCAGCAUAACACAUUGGGAACGAAGAACCACAACAUGCCUGCACAAGGACGGUACAACCGCUCCACGACAAUGCCUUCUGUUUUGUUUGCUUUGCAUGGAAGGAAGGAAAAAACACCGCCCUUGCCGGCUUCUUCAUUCUUUUUAAUGAGGGGCUAGUAUCUCUCUCCACAGUAGUAUCUAUUUAUCCUUUCUUUUCUUUUAUUUCCUUCUUUUUUGAGGUGCUAGUAUCUAUCUAUCUAUCUUGGAAGGAAGCUGUGCUAUAUCCCAUAUAUACCGGUACUAUACUUUGGCCCUACCCUUCUCCUCUUAUUCUUGCAGCGCAACGUGCUACUAGUUAGUUUUAGUCUAGCAGCCUUACAUACGAUGAUGCUAAAGCCCAAUAAGAAAUCUAGCGCUAUCUAUCUACAACAUAAACCCUGUUUGCACCAAAACUCCAUGCGUCCUCUCUCCUGGUGUUUAAAGGGAUCAGCAAUACUGCAGCUGCAUGCUUUUACUUGUUGUAUGCUUGUCUUAACAAACUCACUCUUUUCUCGAUGUACUGAUGCAAUUUACCUUGACUAAGAUACUACUCGUACUCUCCUAGUGGCAUGAAUUAGCCUAAUCCUAUGAUACGAACUAAAGAGCGUCUUCUUUCAUAUUCCUAUUCAUAUGAUUUACGAUACACGACAUCUCAUUUUUUAUGACUUUUCUAUUCAUAUGGUUUUCGUACCCAUUUAACAAAGGAGGCCUAAUUAAGAAGAUGGUUCAUCCACACCAAAGCGUAAUACUCCCUCUGUCACAUAAUCAAAAAUGCUAGACCUACACUAGUGGAAAACGGGCCUUUGGCCCGGACCUUUAGUCCCAGCCUGCCUCUGGGCCGGGACUAAAGGCCCGGCCACGUCGUCCCAAAUCGCAUUGCCUCCCACAAGGCUUUGGUCUCGGCCCGUAAGGAGCCUUUAGUCCCGGUUUGUGUCCCAAACCGGGACUAAAGGGCUACGCGGUGUGCAGCCCGCAUGUGCGUCACCUUUAGUCCCGGUUUGUGUCUCAAACCGGGACUAAAGUCCUCUGCCUAUAUAUAGCACAGCCCCCCUCUCCCCUCUUCCUUGCAUUUUUCUUGGAUGGAAGAGUGUGGGUGUGUGCUAGCUCUUCAUUUUUUUUCAUGCACUAGAGGUGUUNACGAGAAUAUGGAUAACGACAAGCACCUUGAAGAAGGUCGAGUAGCCGGGCGGCACCGGAGGGUGCUGCUCGGCAUCUGAGGAACAAUCUUCGCCGGUCAGGAUGGCGUAGCCGCUCCUGUCGAAACCCUAACCGCACUUAAGGGGAGGGAGCCUGUCACAUGCCCCGAAAAACACAUUGCACAUGACCAACCACACAGUCGAGGCCGGAUAGACAUGGACAUCAGGCAUGUUCAGGCGCAGGAAGAGGACGAGGCCAUGGCGAGCGACGAGCGNNNNNNNNNNNNNNNNNNNNNNNNNNNNNNNNNNNNNNNNNNNNNNNNNNNNNNNNNNNNNNNNNNNNNNNNNNNNNNNNNNNNNNNNNNNNNNNNNNNNNNNNNNNNNNNNNNNNNNNNNNNNNNNNNNNNNCGAGCGACGAGCGGCAGCAUGUGGGGCAGCAACCCUCUCUUGCGGGCUCUCGCGGGGAGAAAGGUCCGAAGGCCGCAACGGUGGGUACCGAAGAGCGAGUGCUUCGUCGGGACAAAGGUCGUUAGGAAACCAAGGGACUCCGUGAGGUCCGACUUUUCCUAGAUGAGGAGCCCAAAGAGGAACGCUGGCGUCGAGUCCGGCCAGCAUAGGCCGUGGAGGAAGGAGGCCUCGAGUACGACACGACGCAUCUGCUUGCACGACGCGGUGCAAUGGAAUAGGUCGUCGAUGUUGUCCAUGUGCCCAAGGAUCUCGCGGACGACGUNNNNNNNNNNNNNNNNNNNNNNNNNNNNNNNNNNNNNNNNNNNNNNNNNNNNNNNNNNNNNNNNNNNNNNNNNNNNNNNNNNNNNNNNNNNNNNNNNNNNNNNNNNNNNNNNNNNNNNNNNNNNNNNNNNNNNNNNNNNNNNNNNNNNNNNNNNNNNNNNNNNNNNNNNNNNNNNNNNNNNNNNNNNNCCCGUGCUACCGUCGUGCGACGUGGCCACAUGGGAUUAGACGAGACGAGUCUCGGGUGCGCUGUGCAAGGAACCAAACCACCAACGUGGAGGCCGUGGCUUUUUAUAACCUGGAUGGAGGCUCGGGGUCCCCCAGUUGGACUCUAGACCGUCUCGGCCCGAGUGAGCACGUGCCUAACCAGGCCGAGCCUGCUAACCUGCUCGGCCUGGCCCUUCCGACAGCCUUGAAAUCGAAAUUAGUCGCACGCACAAUCGGGACCUCCUAUUCGCCGCGCGUUGCAGCAACGNNGAAUGGGCUAGCCCAUCUUCCGCUCACCCCAACUGGGCCGUCCCAGCUUAUUUUUUGGUUUAAAAAAUAAUAUAAUAAUUGUUUUUCUAUAUUUUUCAAAUUCCAAAACAUUUUUUCGAGAACCAGAACAUUUUUUCAAAUNNNNNNNNNNNNNNNNNNNNNNNNNNNNNNNNNNNNNNNNNNNNNNNNNNNNNNNNNNNNNNNNNNNNNNNNNNNNNNNNNNNNNNNNNNNNNNNNNNNNNNNNNNNNNNNNNNNNNNNNNNNNNNNNNNNNNNNNNNNNNNNNNNNNNNNNNNNNNNNNNNNNNNNNNNNNNNNNNNNNNNNNNNNNNNNNNNNNNNNNNNNNNNNNNNNUUUUUUCAAAUUCCGGAACAUUUUUUCAAAUUUCGAAACAUUUUUUUGAAAAAUCCGAAACAUUUGGAUAAAAAGUCCAGAACAUUUAUUCAAAUGCCCGAUUUUUUUUAAAUUCCCGAACAUUUUUUCAAAUUCCGGAACAUUUUUUUGAAAAUCUGGAACAUUCUUUGAAAUUAUGAAACAUAUUUUGAAAUUCCGAAACAUUUAUACAAAUUCAGGAACAUUAUUGUUUCAAAUUCCAGAACAUUUUUCGAAAAUUCAGUUUUUUUUUGAAAAUUAAGAACAUUUUUUAAAACAGAAACAUGAAAAAAAAAAACAGAAAGGAAAAAAGAAAAAUGAAAAAAAACGGUUCAGGAAACCUUCUAAAAGUUUCCUAAAACCAGAAAAAACCUUCUGGAACCUCUACCCAAAACCGGAAUGCUCCAGUAGUUAUAUGGGCCUGCCCGUUGCGUCGCUCCUCGGUCGCUCGCCUGUGCGAAGCGCCGACUGCUUGACGCAACGAGCGGCAAAUAGGAUAUUAUUCCCGCACAAUCCCCCUCCGCCUUCGUCUUCCUCUCCGACCCGCUCGCCCACGGAUCCGGCCCGCCCCGUCCCUAAACCCUAGCUCCCCGGCGCCUCCCUCCCUCCCCGUCCGGCGAGCGAGCGAUGGAGGACGAGGAGAUGGAGAGGAAGGUGCAGCAGUACCUGCACCGCAAGGGCUUCCGCCUCACCGAGCUCGCGCUGCAGGAGGAGCGCAACCGCCUCUCCACCACCUCCCUCUCCGACGUCUCGCUCUCCAGGUACUUCCCCCGCCGCCGCCGCCGCGAAUCCCCCUAAGUCCCCACCCCGCCGCCCCUUCCGGCGGCUGCAGCAGCCUCGCUCCCCAAGUUCCGCGUGGCAGCCACUGGUUUUCCCGCUGUUUGUGCGAGGAAUGGUGCCAAAUUGGUGAUUCCGAGUGGCCAAGCCGUGGCGGUUUGACUCACCUGACCCGGGCCGGGCUGUUUCUGCUAGGGUUUAAGUUGCUCCGAGUUCAGAAUCAGCUUACCCGCUCGGUCGUGAGAAAUUGGUACUUUGGCUCGUGCAGUACCAAACCUUCAACAUGAUUUGGUCCUUGAGCAGAGUUUGUUAUGGGGGCUAAUCUAGAGAGCAUUAUGUCAAAUACGCUCGGAAACUGCUCUAAUUCCAUGUUAAUCUGUCAAAUCUACCGUGUCCCUCUUUGUUGACAGGCCGGAUAACGACCCAGCAAGAUACUAUGAUGGCUACAAUAAGCUAAGAACAUGGGCAUACAAUUCUCUCGACCAAUACAAGGUGUGCUACAUUACGUGUGGCUUGUGAUUCACGUUUACAGCUCUAGUACAUUUGGAUGCACUUUGCUUCACAGCAUUCACAUAUAUUUUGAGGCAUGUAGCUGCUAUAUCCACACCGUUCAGUAAUCUAGCAUGCUACUCAUGAGUUAUCUUCAUGUUUCUCUUAUUGAAAAUGAGCAUGCCUGCUGGGUGCACCAUGCCUCCAGGAUCAUGGCUGAAUGCUUGCCUGCUAGCUUCAGAUGCAGCAUUUACGAAAUGGUCUUUCUGUCUUAUGGCAUGUGUUCACACUGCAGAGCUCCGUCUAGAAAGCAAAAAACCAUUCACAUAAGCAGAAUCAUGUACUUGUCACAUGAUUGUAGUCGCUGGAAAUCGGAUAUUUGGUUGCAGUGGAUGGACUACUUGCUAUAAUUUGAUGUACCUAUUACAUGGAACGGCCUUUUUUAUUUCCUUGUAUUCAGCUAUAUAUGUUUCGUGCCUCUGAGUUAUUUUUUUUUAUAUUGUAGCAUGAAUUACUCCGUGUCCUUUAUCCAGCGUUUAUCCAUUGCUUCAUGGAUCUUGUGUCAGAGGGGCAUACACUAGAAGGUAAUUAUUUUUGUGGGCAAGAAGAUAUUGGUAGUUGGUGUACAUUUCUGGGAUAAUAUUUGUUUGCAUUUUAUGCAUCCACUUAGUUUAUUUGGGGCAUUUCUGUCAUUGAUAUCACCACACAUGAAUCCUGCAGCUCGGCAAUUUUUCCUUAAAUUUCGGGAAGAUCAUGAACUGAUGCAUUCAAGGGAUCUCCAAAAGCUGGAAGGCACUCUUUCUCCUUUGCAUUUGGAGGUUCAUCAUUUAGCUCUCUUACAGCCAUUCAACUGUGAAUGGAGAUUUCCUUUCGUUUAUUUGAUUUUAUCUUCCCAGGAUUCAAAAAAAUAUGCACUUAUUGUUUUGCGUGCUAUACUUUUCAGGAAAUGGAUCUGGCCCGAUCUUUAAGGCAAAAUAAAUUCAGAAUUAAAUUAUGUGAGGUAGUACGGCGCCAAGUUCUUAUAUAUUUGCAUUCCAUCCCUUUGUUGCAACUACGAUUGUAUGGUUGAGUCACCUUUUGUGAGUUAAAUCAAUGCACUUUCUAGGUCCGUUCUUACCUUUUCUUCCUGAAUCCUAAUGUUCAAUUAGUUGCAAAUAGGAGUAGACGAUACAUCAUCAUGAUAACAUAAUUAAUGCAUAUAUUGAACGCGAGUUUCAAAUAUGAGACACUGACCGCAUAUAGAUAAGUUUCUCACAGUUGCUGGCAAAGCACAUUCUAAGUGGUGAUUUUUAGUUCAAUUGUCAAACUCAUUGCAUGAUGCAUCAUGAUCUCACCUUUUUUCUUUGCUGCAAUGUUGUUUUUCCUAGAAAAAUAUUUCAACUGUUCUGUUUAAAGUUUCCGCGUUUCAUUGCAGUAUUCGUAUGAAUUACUUCUCCAGUAUCUCCAGAAAACACAAGCUCUUGUGAUGCUUGGAAUAAUCAAUGAAAGGAUAAUUUUUGAAGGUACAGUUCCCAGACUGUUGAGAUUAUAUCACACAUUUUACUUACCCUCACUUCUGAAAUCUUUUCCACCACUUUUCUCUAUGCUAUAUUGGCAGUAUCUGCUGGGCAGCCUUCAUUGAUCUCUGAUGAUGCUGAUGUUGUUGCUCUGGUUGGAACUAGUAAGGACUUGGCAAAACAGAUAAAUCAGAAGGAAGUGCAUUGGGGGGUAUGUUACUUAGCACAUUAGUGAUCAAUGUGUUUGUUUCCUAUUACUAUUCUAUCAAAACGGUUAACAAUGCCGAUCAAACAGGGAAAUAAACUCUAGUAGCACUGUUUUUGCCACUUCCCAAACAAGCCUCUUCUAUGAGAGCAAUUUUUCUGUUUAUUCUUCGUUAUCCUGAGUUAUGUGUUAUUAUUAACACUAAAAUUAUGGCAUGCAGUUGCUUGAAGAUUCAGUUGAGGAGCGUAUGGAGAAAGCACUCUCAGAUUCUGAUAGAGCUGAAGCAGAAAGCAAGGAUGCAGAUGCAGAAGAUAAUAACAAGGUAAGAAACUCUCUCAUGGUAUGGGACCCUUGUUAUAUUAUGUUUGUUAUGCUCUCUGCCAUGGAAACCUGGACAUUCCUUUUUUGUCAGCACUCAGAAUCAUGUUUUUGUUCCUCUCUUCUUCUGUUGUGUUUCAUUAUUUCUUAUUGUUUUUCCUACAGAAAAAAUCCUCAGAAGGUGGAAAGCAGGGUGGUUCUCUUAACAAAAAGCUCAAAAAGGAUAAGCUUGUAGGUCCAACAGGGAAAAAUACCAAAUCCGAAACAAGCAUGGUUUCUGCGGCACCUCGUGUGAAACCGGAGCUAACCCUUCCAGCAACGUAAUUUUUUUUCCUCUUUGUAAACUUCUCUAUGAGAAGCUCAGUUUGAUCUACAGUUCUAAAUAAUUUAUCAACUGUAGCCUUUGAAAAAUAUAAAUACCAUUUCUAUAACUGAAUGUGAGUGUCAUGCGGCCUUCUUGGAACCUAAAAUUAAGGCUGAAGUGUUCUGUGGGGGGUCUCUUGGAAAAAUUAUCUUACAAGUUUCAGGACGACGAAAUUCUUUUCCCUUUCCGCAGAACAUACUCUUUUCUAUCUGUCAAGUGUCAACCUUGUGUUUACGAACCCAAACAAUUACACCUUUGUUUCAGGCCUGUUGAAGUUGAACAAUCAAUUCUCGAGGACCUGCGAAACCGUGCACAAUUGAAUAACUUGGCAUUGCCUUCUGUUAGCUUCUACACAUUCCUUAAUACACAUAAUGGGUAAGCUUAGCUGUAACUUAGUAUCAACUGUUCCAGUGUGCAUACUUUGGUUUGAACAUUAUCCUGUGGAACACAGAUUAAACUGCUCAUCAAUCUCAAACGAUGGAUCAUUGGUUGUUGGUGGGUUCUCAGACUCAUCAGUAAAGGUUAGUCCCUUUUGGUGAUAGUUUAAUUGUUUCUCAUGUGAUCACUACAUUAACUGGUAAAACUUCCCUGUUCACUAGGUUUGGGAUAUGGCAAAGAUUGGUCAACCAGCCAAAACACGUUAGUCGUUCUACACUACAUAUUGCUGAUGUUUUUAUUCCACUGUGAUAUGGUGAAAAGCUUCUGUAGCUGUGCAUCUGAUUUUUGUUAUGGUAGCCUUUUGUUCUAAGGAUGCUACUAGUUUAUUUCGUUCAGUUUAAGUUAUGAGCUAGAAGUUUAAGGUGGUGUCGCGGGACUGAAAAUGUCUUCUGGACCCUACCUGCUGGACAUGAAUAUUUUAACGACAUUGCACUAUUUGACUGGAACCUGUAUUCUUCUAACAUAGUAGUGCUUUCAUUUAUAUCUUGAUGGGAUUUGCUGAUUGGGAAAAUUUGGACUCAGCUAGUUCACAAGGAGAGAAUGGAUCUUCACAGGGUGAACACUUGUCAUCAACAUCUGAGGGGAAAAAACCUUAUACAUUAUUCCAAGGUCAUUCUGGACCAGUUUAUUCCGCUGCCUUUAGUCCAUUUGGAGAUUUUCUCCUGUCAUCAUCUUCAGAUUCAACAAGUAAAGCAUCACUUACACUAUGCUUAUUUUGUACCAUUCAUUUACUUGUUCGCUUAUUUAAUCGAACUGACAGUUUGUCUAUUUUUUUAUAUGCUUGUUACAGUUCGGCUGUGGAGUACCAAGCUGAAUGCCAAUCUUGUUUGUUACAAAGGACACAAUUACCCAGUUUGGGAUGUCCAAGUAUGUGAACAAGCCCUUUCUCUGUAUCAUUUCGUGAAAACAACAUUUGGGUUAUUUCUUCAUGGGAAGUGUUGACUGCCUAGUUCAGGCCAAAACAUUUGAUUAGUUAGUUGAUUUUUCAGUAGUAUUUAUUAGAAUGAUGCUCAGAUCUGUUGUUACAAUCAAUGUCAAUGCCCUACAAUCAAUUGGUUGUUCAGUAAUUCUUAAUAAACUCUUCUGAAGUUCUAGACCUCAUUACCUAUAUGGAUAUGAUGUACAGUACAAGGGAUUAUUCUGGAGGUGAGGAUGGGUGUCUCCGUUGUUACAAACAUUGUCCAUACCCUACUAUUGUUUUAAUCUUGAUCUUGGUGCAAGGAGUGCAAAACUGCAAAUACUUGUGAUAAAUAUUCCUAGUUCGCUUUUCAUUUUGAACACUUCUGAUGAUGGAAUUUGGAAUAGGUCCAUUGGGCUUGAUGUUCUUUUCAACAGCUUAUGAUUGGUACAUAAAUUUUUGUUGCGGUAGCUUUCUAAUUCUGUUCUAUUGAACCUCAUGACAUAAUUGUGUGUCGUAGUAUUUUCUGACAUUUGUUUUAUGUUUUUGUGGCAGUUUAGUCCAGUUGGCCAUUAUUUUGCCAGUGCCUCGCAUGACAGGACUGCUCGAAUUUGGUCAAUGGACAAAAUCCAACCUUUGCGGAUAAUGGCUGGGCAUCUUGCUGAUGUUGAUGUAAGUGUGCUUCUAGCUCAUAGUUUGUAGUGAUUUGUGAAUUGACAGUCUGCUAUGGGAAUGCUUACUGAUGUCUGCAUGUUCUGAUUGUUCUCUUCUGCAAAUUAUUUAUCUGACAGUGUGUGCAAUGGCAUGUAAACUGUAACUACAUUGCCACCGGCUCCAGUGACAAAACUGUAAGGCUAUGGGACGUUCAAACUGGUGAAUGUAUACGAAUGUUUAUUGGUCAUAGGAGUAUGGUCUUAUCACUGGCAAUGUCUCCUGAUGGGCGAUACAUGGCUUCUGGGGAUGAAGAUGGGACCAUCAUGAUGUGGGAUCUCUCUACUGGUCGCUGCGUUUCACCACUGGCAGGACACAACUCUUGUGUGUGGUCACUUGCUUUCAGGUAAUCAUCAUUAUACAUUGUUUUACUUAGUAUCCCACGUGUCCUUGUUGCUGAUGGUAGUCAAACAGUAGUUGAUAUACCAAAUAUGUGUAAAGAUUAUUAGUUUGUGGCAGGGCUUGGCAAACUGGCCUUUCUUGUCUGCUGCCUUUAAUCAGUUUUCUGAGCAGUGGCUUCAGUUCACACUGGGUUAGAUUUAUCCAUAAAUGAUUAAUGCGUUUACUAACCAUUUUGGCCACCUUUAGUAUUUAACUGGAAUGUUGCAUGAUUCUGUCUUCAAAUGACCACACCAUGGAACUUGAAUACCCGUGUGUGGUUGUUUUUUCUUGAAUAUACAUCGAUGGUCCAGCUUAUGUACUUGGCCCAAUGCAAUUGUUGGUUGAUCACAGUAGAUUUUCUUCUGGAUCUAUUGUUUGAAAAAAUCUGUAUUUUUUUCCAUUUUUAACCACUGUUUUCAGUAGAAAUUAUGCAAAAAAAUGUCUUCCAUCAACGGAUUAGAUUGAGUAUCAUGGAUGAUUCUUCUUUUUUGAAGUGUGCAUUCUUUCUCUUCCAGUGACAAGUCAUGCUGUGUUGCUACUACUCCCUCUGUUCCUAAAUAUAAGUCUUUUUAGAGAUUUCAAUAUGGACUACAUACGGAGCAAAAUGAGUGAAUCUACACUCUAAAACAUGUCUAUAUACAUCCGUAUGUAGUCCAUAUUGAAAUCUCUAGAAAGAUUAUAUGUAGAAAGGAGGGAGUACUCCGUAUGGUUUUUAGUUUUUGGAGAAGCAUGAUUCUUAAUUUCAUGCUAAUAUGUUAUGCCAAAGAAUCAUCUCAGUUAAACAAUCCAUCCUCUAUUUUAUAGCUGCGAGGGAGCAUUGCUUGCAUCAGGAUCAGCUGAUUGCACUGUUAAACUCUGGGAUGUCGCGUCCAGCACAAAGGCUCUGAAGAUGGAUGACACGUAAGUUGGUUGGCUUGCUUGUAAAAGGACGCUUUGGUUUGCCUUACUCUAGUUUUUAAAUAUCCUUUAUUUUUGUGAAACAGCAAAGCUGGUUCGACGAACCGACUGAGGCUGCUGAAAGCUCUCCCUACAAAAUCGACUCCUGUUUAUAACUUGCGGGUGAGAAUGUCUUUCCAUCCACAGUUCUCAUCAGUUAACAUAGGGUAGUUACCGUGUGGCGUGAAAACCAACUAACUGAUCUUUUCCAAUUGCAGUUUUCCCGGAGGAAUCUUUUGUUUGCUUCUGGCGCUCUCUCGCUAUAGGCUCCUAAGCUUGCUGUAUGCUCUGUAGAAUACAAUUUACAUUCUUUCAGUGUUGACCUUAAGUAGCAAAGUAGAUGUUUACUUGGCUGAGUCCUGUUGUAGAGCUUCUUACAUUGUCCUUACUGAUCUCAGUGAACCCUAUGAUUGAGUAGGUUGUUAAACUGUAGCCUGUGAACAUUGCUCAUUGAGACUUGUGUAUUACUGUUGUAACAUUAGCUAAUUUUAAAUUAUAUACGUGGAAGGUAGUAGUCACAAAUAGGAAACAAGAACACUUGGUUGAUGCAAGAAGACAAUGGCCCAAGAGCUAGAGUUUAGGAGCUUCUUGAGGGUUGUUUUCACAGCAUCUUCUUGUGGUGUCUGAAGGAGCUGAGCUGUGAUUUGAUAUAGUUAUGGGACUUGUGAGGGAAAAAAGCAUGACCUGUCGGUCUUCAUUUGAGCGAUCAAGGCCAUAUCUAUCUCUUAGCUAUUGCUGAUGUUGAAAUGUGAGUUGUGACUGCCCUCAUUGGUCCAAGCUUGGUGUCAUUUUGUAUCCUGCUAUCUGUCGACAUCUGGACCAGAGCGUUCCUAUCACAAGUAAAUGUUGAUUUCUUCAUGAUGUUGCCAACAAUCAAAGUGAAGAACUGUUGUGCACCCUGCAUUUUGUUGGCAUGCCGCGCCGAAGGUCUCUCUCUGCCAGGCUGCGCCGCAAUAUAUCCUGUCCCGCUGAAACAGCGAUGCAGGUAGGUGGGAGAUGACAUGAAAAUUUGACUUUGCUGCUGUGUUGGAUGUCAAAGCUGAAAUAACGCAGUGACAAUGGCAGAUGCGACCCGAGCGUGUGGAUGCGAGGGGCGCUGCGCAAGUGUUCUUAAACCCCCGGGGCCUGAGCUUGCUAGCUGAGCAUCCAACUUUCAGCUUACUCACACACCAACAUCGAGGGAAACCCAAGGUAGAAGAGGUCGUCCAUCAAAGGUUCACAACUACCAUCUCUCAUCCUGAUUUUUGUUUAUUUUAUUUUAUUUUACGAGUUGUUCUCUCGUCCUUAUAUACUAGUUGUAUGAAUAAUCAUCUUUUCAUGGGAUGUAAUCCUUGAAAAAAAAAGGAAGCACCUAGCGGCUAAGUUUCUAUGUAUCAGUGGGUUUUCGCAGCCUAGUACUUCCUUUGUAAAUUAGUAUAAAAGCGUAUUAUUAAAGUAGUGAUCUAAACGCUUUUAUAUUAGUUUACAGAGUACUAUAUAUUCAUCUUCUUCCCCUCCUAGUUAUUUCUAGCCCCUUUUACCCUUUCCAAGCCGCCUCUUCUAUCGUGCCACAAUUGUUUCAACCAUCAUUGUAAGCCCCAAUCUUCUCAUGCGCCUGUGUGCACUCGUCAACCCUCUUUCUAUGCUCCGUGUGGCAUCGGCAACGACGCGGCUAGGUUUGCAAAAAAUCUCUUUUUGUUCGUGUCUUGUUGGGCAUGUAUUGUUUUCCUGUUUCUUUUUUCACAUAUUUUCAAAAUUAGAACUAUUUUUCCAUGAAGUUUCAAAUUAGUUCCAUAUGUAGUUAGGCUAUCUCCGACGGCAACCCCUGAACUGUCCUCAUGUUCAGCACUAUACUGUUCGAUUGUGUUGUGCCAUCCAAAAUAGGAUUGUAAUGGUCUGCAUGGUGGUCCGGACAUACUUUCUUCCGCACACCAGAGACAAAUAUGCGGGGCUUUGCGGUGUCCGGACAGCACCUAGGCCAGCGUCUGACCAUCCUGACUCAACAAAACUCCUCAUCCCUUGCCCGCACGCGUUUCCACCCGAGGCCAGCUACCCGCAGUCAUGUCGAUGUGGAGCGCCCGCUAUACAUUGAAGCCGGCCCUGAACGGGCGCGAUGUCUCACUGGCUCCGCCAUUAAAGCGGCGCGCCGAUCGUGGGCGUUGCCCACUGCACGUCCGGUAGAACUUGCCUCCUUGCCGCAUUCAAGCGCCUUCCUAAACCCGCGUGGAAGCCGACAAACCUACUCGGGCCACAUGUCCGUUCACGAGCGGGCGACAUUAAACACAACGCCUGGCAAGCUCCUCCUUGCCGCCUGCUAUUUAAAGGAUGCCUAGCCGGCGGGCAAGAAUCACACCACUACGCCUCUCCCCAUCUCCUCAUCCCACCCUUUCGAUGGCAUCCGGUGUUGCCGGUUGUAGACUAGUGUAAUAUAUUCGUAUAGUAGGAAUGGAGCACCGCAUGACCGGAUUUGCACAUAGUUUUGCCUAUUUUGGUUAAAAUAUGCCUAAAAUGUAAUGAAUUUCGUUCAAUUUAUAUGUAAUCCAUUGUAUUUGCAUGAAAUUCACCCGAUUUGUUCGAAAAGUUGUUGAAAUGUAUGUGGAUAGCGUUGGAUGGCGGCCUCCUCCAUCCGUGUCCAUGCAUAGGCCCCCCUUCCCGCAGACUAGCACUUAAGUACCAUGCUAGCACUUUGCAUUGAAGUACUACCAGUUAGGGGGUAUUUGGCUGGGUUUAACUUUGGCUUAUAAGCCAAAGAAAAUCACCUAUGUUAGAGCAAGUACAAUAGGAUGACCUAGGCGGGCUGUAAGACUUAAAAUAAUAUAUUUGUGAUGAGUUGGAAGAGAGAGAAGAGAAGCGGGCUAAAAACUAACAGCCGGCUGUAACACGUGCUCCUAGGCACUUUGUGAGAAAGGAUGAUGGACCUUGUAUCAGUAAAGUAGUACUUAUUUACAUCUACCCAUUGUACUUGCGGGCUAUAAACUUGGCUAUAGAUUACGUGUCAACAUCAUAUAGCCAGCAGUUGGCUGUACUGUUAACCAUGCUCUUAUGGGCUUUUGGCUUAUACCAUCAUGUGCAAAAGCCAAAAACAUUGCUACAUACACGUAGGACAUUUCCCAUCUGAAUCUCUCUCACAUCACACCGUUCAUGCGCAAGGCUAAGCUACAACAGGCAGUUGAAUUAGCCGUUCUACCAUUAUCGUACCACAACACGUCGUAUGUGAGUACUUUCGACAACCAAAAGCAUGAAGUGGGUGUUUUGAGUUGGUCUUUUGUCCUUAUUUUACUAGUAGUAGUAUCGAGUAAUCAUCUGCUUUUUAUCCUCAAAAAAAGGGUGCACUCAGCCACCAGUUGCCUGAAAAAGUUUAUAUGGAUAAGUCAUCUUCGUCCUUUAAGCCCCACAUUUCUAUUGCGCUGGCAGGCGCCCUUGCAGCCGUCAAUCCUCAUCGUAUCUUCUGCCGGCGACGAUAUGCUUAGCAAAUCCACAAAAAAGUAAUCUAUUUUGCCUUUUGUCUUCUUGUUAGGCUUGUUAUCAUAUGUAUUUCUGUUAGUUUUUUCUUCACACACUUUUAAAAAAUAGAGCUAUGAUUUAUUUCAUGAAGUAUCAAAUAUUAGGUUCAUAUUUAGUUAUGUACCAAUGUUCAGACUUGCACUUUGGAAUGAAUCAACGAAGUGCUAUGAGUUAAGGGCUAUUUGCCUUAUAAGUGAAAAAGACACCUAUGAUGGUGUUAAGCAACAAAGACACCUAUGAUGGUAUAAUCCAAAAGUCCACAAAUAGGGGUGUUUCUUUGGGCUUAUAAGCCAAGUGAAAAAGCCAAAGUUAAGCCCAACCAAACACCCCUUAGUGUGAUUAUCUUCUUCGGCGAGCAUAUAUAUACAAACAUGUUUACAAAAAUAAAACGCUAAUUUAUGACCACUUACCAUUUUUAUCCUUGCAACUCCAUUGGUGAAAACAUGAUCUAUCUGUAUUGGAACUUAUUGACUAAAAGUGACGCAGUAUGCACUAAUGUAGGUUUGUAAUUUUUUGGAGCUUCUUAUAUUGAAAAUACAUGUCUGGCCUUUUGCAGGAAACGUAAACACAAUGGGUCUCGGCAUCCUUGUUCUAUCGGUGCUCUUAGGAUUGUUUUAUGGAGCAAGUGACAUUAACUGCUCAACAGUUCAUGGUAACACCACAGAUCACCGUUCAUUGCUUGAUUUCAAAGGGGCCAUCAGAGCGGACCCAAGAGGAGUGUUGCGCUCUUGGAAUGAGAACAUCCACUACUGUAUGUGGCCGGGCAUCAAGUGCAGCACAUGGCACCCAGAACGUGUUACGGUGCUAAACCUUGCCAACCUGAGCUUGGCAGGCCAAAUCACACCUUAUCUUGGAAAUCUAACCUUCCUUAGGGAACUUACACUAUCCAACAAUCUCUUCUCUGGCCACUUGCCCCCUCUCAAUCGUCUUAUAAGAUUAAGGAUCAUUGAUCUACAUGACAAUUUGUUGCAGGGGAACAUUCCCAAUGCACUUACAAAUUGUUCUGAACUCGUGGGGCUAGACCUCUCCUUUAACAUGCUAGUGGGUUCAAUUCCCCAGAAUAUAGGUUCCCUCUUCAAUCUUAUAGGAAUAGACCUUUCCAAUAAUAGCCUCACAGGAAACAUUCCACGAACGUUCGGCAACAACAGUUACUUAGAAGAGCUACGACUUACCCACAAUCAACUCAAAGGAAGCAUUCCCGAAGAUCUUGGGAAAUUGCCGAAUAUGGGGGUGAGCCGGGCGGUGUAUCUUGGUCAGAAUAGGCUAUCUGGUAGAGUUCCAACAACAUUGUUUAAUCUAUCGAAUCUUAUAAUACUAGACUUGAGUAGAAAUACGCUAAGGGGCACACUGCCAUCCAAUAUCGGUAAUCUAUCUGUCGCGCUUCAAUGGCUAUUUCUGGGUGCAAACAACUUGUCCGGGACAGUGCCACCGAGCAUUGGGGCCCUAAAGGACCUAACCGCUUUAGAUCUUGGAGGAAACAACUUCGUUGGACCAAUACCGUACUCCAUUGGCAAUCUGGCAAAGUUACAGAAGCUCUACCUUUCCAAUAAUCAUUUUGACGGUUGGUAACGCAGCGACAAUGCUUGACUGCCAACAACUUGAUUCGACUGGUUGGCCGAGCCAAGGGAUGUUGUUUGUUGUGCGAGUGCAAUGGCCUGACGAGGGCUCUGCACCUCCGUGUCCAUGCAUGGCAGCACCAGAGUUUCUCUCAGCGGGUGUGGUUUGAUCUGUUUGCAUUGCAUUUUUCAUUUUCUUGUUGUCCUUAGAUGCUUACUACUUCCUGUACACCUAAAUAAUUGUAGUCGGAGAGAACUCCCUAACUACAAUUAUUUAGAUGCAGAGGGAGUAUAUUUUUCAGCGGGUUUGUCACAUGCAUGUGUGUGUGUGGUAUGUACUGUUUCUGGCUGUGUGCGUCUCGUUUGUAUUCGUAUCAUUUAGAGAAUGCAAUAAAAGGCCUCCACAACAACAACAACAAUCAAGCCUUUCAGUCCCAAACAAGUUGUGAUAGGCUAGAGUUGAAACCCAUAAGAUCUCAAAGCCAAGUCAUGGCUCUGGAACGUGGAUAGCUAACUUCCACGCACCCCUGUCCAUGGCUAAGUCUUUGUCGAUAUUUCAAACCUUCAGGUCUCUCUUAACGGACUCCUUCCAUGUCAAGUUUGGUCUACCACGACCCCUCUUAACAUUCUCAGCACGCUUUAUCCGUCCGCUAUGUACCGGCGCUUCCGGUGGCCUCCGUUGAAUAUGUCCAAACCAUCUGAGAUGAUGUUGGACCAGCUUCUCUUCAAUCGGUGCUACCCCAAGUCUCUCUCGUAUAUCGUCAUUCCGUACCCGAUCCUUCCUUGUGUGACCACAUAUCCAUCUCAACAUGCGCAUCUCUGCUACACCUAACUGUUGGAUAUGUCGUCUCUUGGUUGGCCAACACUCCGCGCCAUACAACAUCGCAGGUCGGAUAGCCGUCCUAUAAAACCUGCCUUUUAGCUUUUGUGGCACUCUCUUGUCAUAGAGUACGUCAGAAGCUUAGCACCACUUCAUCCACCCAGCCUUGAUUCGGUGGCCCACGUCUUCAUCGAUAUCGCCAUCCUUCUGCAACAUGGACCCCAAAUAUCGAAACGUGUCUCUCUCCGGUACCACCUGCCCACCAAGGCUAACCUCUCCAUCCUCGUGCCUAGUAGCACUAAAACUGCACCUCAUGUAUUCAGUUUUAGUUCUACUAAGCCUAAAACCUUUCGAUUCUAGAGUCCGCCUCCAUAACUCUAACUUUCUAUUAACCCCCGUUCGGCUAUCAUCGACUAGCACCACAUCAUCCGCAAAGAGCAUACACCAUGGGAUAUCUCCUUGUGUAUCCCUUGUGACCUCAUCCAUCACCAAAUCAAAAA